rnacentral:lncRNA from 1 species
GUCCUUGGACGCAAUCACGAACUCCUGACGCAACGCCGGCGACACCACCUUGAUGGUCCCGUCCACGGCGUUGGGCCUCCCCAGCGCCUUCAGCGCCAGGUGCGCCGCCUUCUGCCCGGAGAUCAUCAUGGCGCCGAACGUCGGGCCCUGCAACAAAAAGAUUAUCAGUUCCUCGAUCGUUCAGCGAGUGGUUCUAACACGCAAUUAAUGCGCCCCAAGAGCCCAAGAGUAUUAAUUAAUUCCUCUCACCAUCCUCGGGGCGCCGUCAAUCUCGGCGACCUCCAUGCCGGUGACGAUCAUGCCUGGCACGACCUCGCGCGUGAGGCGCACGAUCUCGUCCUCGGCGGUGUUCAUGUCGAGUGCCUUCAUCCCGGGCACGUCGCUGAUCAUGCCGAUGUCCUGCAGCCUCUUGACGCCGGUGGCCCCGAACGGCCCGUCGUGGCCGCAGGAGCUGACCACCACCUUGGCCUCCAUCACGUUUGGGUCCAUGCACGACUGCGUGUCGUGGUUCAUGGACACGAGCGCCCAGUUGGUGACGACGCCGCCGACGCGCCCUCCCUUGACGAUCAGGUCCUCCACGGCGACGGCGUUGAACAGCUUCACGUUGGGGCGCGCCAGGAGGCGGCUCAUGACGGUGGACGUGAAGAGCGCGGCGUGCUUGAUGACCACGUAGUCCUCGGCCUCGUCGUAGGCGACGCCCAGCUCGUCAAGGAACAGGUGCGCCGGCUUGCGCACCACCAUGGCCGAGAACAGCUGCCCGCCCAGCCACGCGCCGCCGCCCGGUGACACCGACUGCUCCACGAUGGCGAUGCUCACGGACGGGUCCUUGGAGAGCUCGUACGCGCAGGAGAGCCCCGCGGAGCCGGCGCCCACGAUGACCACGUCCGUGUCGGCGUAGGUGAUCAUGUCCGUCAUGUACCGCCGGGUCAUCUCGCGGGAGACGACCGACUCCUUGAUGGGGCUGAACCGGAAGGACGUCAGGUCGUAGGGCGGGUUCGAGGAGGAGAUGGACGACGCGCGGAUCGCCCCGGCGCCGCGCGGGGUGGCCACGACGGCGGGCGACGACGGCGUGCGCGUGGACGCCGGGAGCCUGGCGCCCGCGAAGGAGGACUUGAGGAGGCUGGACGCGGUGGUGGCCAUGGCUGAAAGUUUCUUCUGCCUGCAGGGUAUGGAAGGGGAAAUGAGAGUGGCUGGCUGCAGUGGCACUAACGGCAAGGGUUUAAGAAGGGGAACACGGAGGCUGGCACGAACAAAAUAUCUUGGCUAACCGCCGUGCAUGGCUACGUGCUACCAGAUGGGGCGUGGUUGGUCACGGGCACCGGAUCGUUGGCAGCAGUGUAGCACCCACCGUCCACCGAGACAUCAGCUGGUUCCGGCAGAUAUUUUGGAGGGCGGGUUGAUAUUUUGGCUACCAGAAAGGGAAAGGAAGGACACGGCCGUCGGGGCCUUCUUGUUCGUCCGUGCCAGAGCUCUCGCUCUCUUCCUUGUUUUCUUGUUCACCGUUGGACUCGUCAACUCGUCAUCACCUGGGCCAGUGUGCUAGCAGCCCGUGCACACCAGCCCGUAUCGAGCGCCAGGGAGAGGUUGUGGUUCUUGUGGAGCGCGGCGACGACGACAUGAUUGGCCGGUCCCGCGGCCGCCGCCGGCGCGCGGCCAAUGCAGCGGAGGCAGAGCAGUAGAGCACCGUUCACGGGGGAUUCGCACGUGGGUCCCCUGUGCAUACAUACAGAGAGAAAAGGAGCGACAGUUUUGGACCUUUGGGUGGGCAAUCACAUCGAAACGGUGCUAGGACUUGUUUAGUUCCAUCAAAGUUCAAAAACUUUUCAAGAUAAAAGAAUCUAUAAUUUACAAAGACGAAUUUUUUUAAGUCUAAUUAGUUCAUGGUUGGACAAUAAUUAUCAAAUACAAAUGAAAGUGCUAUAGUCUCUAAAUCAAAAAGCUUUUAGAUCUAAACAAGGCCUGAAUCUAGGGAUGAAAACAGAUCGGAUAUAGCCUGAAUCCCGGUAUCAUAUUUGUUUUUAUAUUUCUGGUUGGAUUCGGAUUCGAAUACAGAUAAUGUCAAUCUUGUCGGAUAAAAUAUGAUUGUAUGCCGAUAUCAUAAAUAUACGAUUUAAGUAUUCGGAUAUGGAUACAGUAUCACAUGUUGAAUAUUCGGACUCGAAUAGGACAGAUAUAAACCUCUCUAAACGAAUUUAAUCUCAAAUACGGUCGAAAAAUAUCAAUACUAUUUUCAUUCUGAAUCACAAGUACUCAAGGUGGAUUUUUGGAAUUAAAUUGUUGACUCAAUAAUUCUCUCACAUGGAUCGCUGGAUAAAUCAAUGGUUAUGAGGUCAUAUCUGUACAGGAAAUUGAUUUUUGUUGAUUGCAUGAUUUUUUUCUUACCAAUCUCAUAAUGGAUUCAUCAAAUCUAGAACCAUAUAAGAUUGUGAUGUCUGGUCUUGAGAGUACUUGCACAUGUCUGAAGUUACAAAGCGCCGCGGCACGUAAACUUCUUCUUUUGGCUCACUCUGCAUCGUCACUUGUGGACGACUGAGCAGAGGAAGCGCCACGGGCUACAAGAUGAUGACUCAUGUGUGCUAUGCAGCGAGGAGCUCAAAGCCACCGAUCAUCUCUUGUUGGGGUGUGCAGUCACUAAGUAACUUUGGUUCGCCCUGCUUUCUGCUCUUGGUUUUGACACGCUCGCACCGGCUCAAGAGAACACGCUCGUCGAUUGGUGCCUGCGCUGCAAGAGGAUGUUGACAACUGACUCUAGGCCGAGCUUCGACGCCAUCAUGCUCCUGGUCACCUGGUCUGUUUGGAAGGAACGCAACAACAGAACGUUCAACAGAGCUUCAGGGAGUCUCCAGUCCAUGGUGUUGGCAGUUCUCCGUGAGGCGGAGGAUUGGAUUGCGGUCGGAUUUCUUCCUAUUUGCGACGCUUAUGUCAUUUGGUCGCACUUUCAUUUUUGUGGUGUAAUAACAGCCUCAUUAGAAUCCAGUAGCUAGGUGUGUCUUCGUUCGUUGCCAGCGUCGGGAAUGUGUGUGGUUGCUCGCCAUUAACAACCCAACACCUGUUGUCUUGUCAAAUUCUAUUUCCUCUUAAUGAAAUACGAGUACUAACCCGGUCAAGAAAAAAAAGUUGAGCAUGAUCUAAUGAUUCAAGUUAUGCAGCAUAAAGGGUUCCCUACUAGAUGGCUUGAUUGGAUGAACGGAAUUAUGCUUCGGGUUCUAUUCUAAUCUGUUUUCCUCUCAGAAGGUUUGCUCAAGUGUUCCUUGUCCUCGUUUGGCCGUGCCCGCCACCAAAUGUCAUCUGGUAGUUGGCCUGUGGGUCGGGCUACAAGAUGAGAACCAAACACAUCCUACAUCAGGCCUGGUUAGAAUGGGCCAGGGAACCAAACAAGAUAGGGUGGCCCGUCUUUACGUAAGCUUUGGUUGGCCACGUCCAGGAUGCUGGCCCGCGCUGGCCACAGCCACCCUUCACAACGCGACCAAAGAGAAGAGAAGCGAUGCAUCCAAGCCGAUGCCGUAAAGAUACAAAGGUGGAGAGAGAAUCGAGGCCAGUACCAUCCGUGCGUGUGUGGCUCGGCCCAUUAACAUGCGGUGCUGAUGAGGUGGAGAAUUAAAAGACAAAUAAAUAAAGAGAAAUAAAGAAGAAAACCCUUUCAACCAUAAUGCCAGUCUCAAUGCAUAGUUUCGUAACACAGUUACUAAGACUAUAAACAAGGUAACUGAGCCAUAUGAGUUUCAUGAGGAUAAAACUACUAUCUCAUCUUAUGAAACUCCUUCAUUUAAUGACCCUGUCAAGUCAGCAAUUUUAUUUAUAUGUUACUCUAUUUAAUAUACAUGACACUUUUAUGAAACAUGCAUUGAGACUGACCUAAGGAGAAGGUGUUUACCACAUCGCAAAAAAAACAGAGAGAACGUGCUUACCAAACGUAAUUUUUUUUAACUAAUGAAGUUGGAGCCAAAUGACGACCAAAGUGUUGUGAUCCGAGGUGAUGGUGGGGGUUUGUGCCCGGCCGCUACAUCCGCCUCUGACUGGUACAGUAGCUGAGGCACUUGAACAACUCGUACCGAUGCUCGUCGGUUUAUUUCUAUGGCUUUUCCAUACUUGGUGAUGCUGGUGCCAUCCAUCCACAAGUGACCAUCUGCAUCCAUUGUUGGCCCGUAAAUCUGUGACCUUCUUGAUGACACGAACGAACUGGUGACUGGACCCUCGCUGAGGUAGUUUUGGAACACAAUCGCUGGCCUAGAUUCCAUCCACAGCGGUGUUGUUGACCGUGUGCUACCUUCGAUCCUUGUUGCCUCUGUUCUUGUUGGCUCUGUGCUGCCUUCUGCGGAUACUGACACCGAAUCUCCCGUAGUCGACGCAGCUGGCGGGAACAAAUUAACCUAUAAUAUUGUUAAAAAAGAUUAACAUAUAACAAUUUGAUAACACAGAAUACUGAAUUGUUUUUUUCAGAGUAGUACACACAUUGUGAGAGGGGGGCAAGCAAAUUAAACAAAAGAGCACGAUCGAGUACCUACCUUGAUACUGCUCGGAUGGAUGAAAAUAGUGGGGAGCGCUAGGUGGGGAGGCGGAACUGCGCUAUACACCCCGUGUGAUGCCUCCUCCUGCCUCGAGAAAGCGAUCGGGACGGUCGCUUCGUCCCUGAAGACGAUCACCGCCAUGCCCAGGUGUCGGCACAAGGCGAUCGCCUCGAUGGCGCCGAACCGCGCCAGAUCGGCGCGCAGGUCGUCGUCGCCAUUGUCGGGGAAGAACAAGUCGAGACGCUGGGCGAGGAUGCUGCGGCUAUGGAAACUGGCCGGGUCCCCGGAGAGUUGGCUCCCUGCGGCUGCGGCUGCGGGGGCCAGGAGGUCGCGCGCCAGGGUCGCCCUCUCCACGACGUGACCGUACAUGCGCCGUAGGUUUUCUAGGGUCACCAUGUUUGUUUCUUGGAUGGAUCUCUGCUGGGUGCCCUUACUCUUGGGUCUGCGACUCUGCGUGUUACGCGCGUGCAUGCGUGUAUAUAUACACAAGUACUACUAGUAUAUGCGGAGGGCAUAGGCAUCGGAUCGGACACGGAAACAGACUCCGAACCAGAGAGAACCUCGCAUGCUAACGGACUACAUACGGUGGGUGUAACAAGAUAUAGUUUAUAUUUCAAUAGCAAAACAUUUAAAACAUCAAUAAGAGUGUGGAUAAGUAUUUCAACAUGUACAAAUAUUUAAAUCAAUUAAUAAAUUUGAAUAUAUAAAAAUAAUGCAUAACGAAUAUGUAAAUAUAGUAAAGUACUUAAAAUUAGUAUGACUAUACAUAUUAAAGUUAACCAAACUUGUCCUUUAUAUAUCAUAAACUAUGAUGUUAUUUUUAAUAGUUUUGCAUUAUCAUAAAUAUAGGUUUGAAAAUUAUCAAAAAAAAAAACUUAACAUUUAUGAUUAGUCAUAUUAGCAAUAUAGUUAACUUUUAAAAAGGUUUAAAUGAGUUAUAUUAAAAAAUAUCAUUUACACUGUUAAUUAGUCAUAAAUAUAAGGUUCACACGGUACAUUGUUCUUCAUGGUAUAGAUAACAUUGGAUAUUUUACAUUUUUCAAAUAUGGAUGUGGAACUAGAUAGAGAAGAAUCAUGAAAAACAUAUAUUUGAAUAUAUCCAUCUAGUAUCCAUAUUGAAAUCGGAUACAAAUACAGAUAACCAUAUCAACAUUCAGACUGAUAUGUAUAUAAGAUCUUUUGGACAUUUAGACAUCCAAAUCCAUCCCUAAAGUUGUCUUAGAAAAUCCAAGAUGCUACAUAAAGAUUCUAAAAUCCAUGAUUUAGUCAUUCUUCUAAAAUAAAACAUCCUAAAAAACCAUAGUACUACAACAAUCUUUAUAAAUUUCCUAGUUUCAAAAUUUAAAACAAGCCCGACGCACCCAUGGCGCUUGGCGCAUAGUCUAGCGCCUACGGUAAAGUUUAUUUUGCCCUUAGACCAGUCUCAAUGCAUGUUUCAUAAGAGUGUCAUGCACAUUAAAUAGGAUGCCACAUAAGCAAAAUUACUGACUUGGCACGGUCAUUAAAUGAAGAAGUUUCAUCAGAUGAGAAGAGUUUCAUCCGCAUAAAACUCAUAUGGCUCGAUUACCUAGUUUGUAGUUUUGGUAACUGUGCCAUGAAACUAUGCAUUGAGACUGGCCUUACGGACAUGUGCCCUCACUCUCCCACCCAUUGAAUUCGCUUUGAGAAGUGUGCAAACGCACAUCUCAAUGCGAAACUGUUUUAAGAUGUGUGUUUGCACACUUCUCAAAGCAAAUUUAAUGGAUGAGAGAGUGAGGACAUGUACCCUUAGGCUCAAUACAUAGUUUCAUGGUACAGUUACCAAGACUAUAAACUAGGUAACCGUACCACAGAAGUUUUAUGGGGAUGAAACUCCUCUCUCAUCUGAUGAAACUCCUUUAUUUAAUGACUCUGUCAAGUCAGCAAUUUUGUUUAUGUGGCACCCUAUUUAAUGUGCAUGACACUCCCAUAAAACAUGCAUUGAGAAAAAAAAACCGCCUUCAUACAUCUACAAGCUCUUCAAUGCGACCAACGUCCCGGACCCGUGUAUGAAGUGAACUAGGACUAUAAAUUCUAGCAAACGAAAUCGAACAGAAGAAUUUUCUCUAUAUUCUAGCAAAGGCAUACAAGGGAAACUACAAUAUCUUGUCAGGGACAGAAAAGGCAGCUCAAGUGUAAUAUACGGUACGGCAGUACGCACGAGAUCAUUUAUCAUACACGUGUACGAAAACUACAAAAGGAAAAGAUGGCUGAGCUUCAGUUCACUGCAGCAACUGGGCCAUGACAUCUUGAGCGAUGACCCCAGCGUGGUGAGCAUCAGGCACUCGACUACACUCCACGAACCCAAGACCUGCCCAGGUAUUCUGAGGCUCCCUUAAUAGCCUGGCUGCACUGUGCCAACAUCUGAAGACAGCCAACGCCAAUCCACUCUUGUCUAGUGCCACAUUGUAUAGGUCACCAAACACAGAAAGUCUAACUGAGAGAUCAAAACAUGAAGUGCCCUCAACAACACCUGAUAGAAGCAAGGAUCUCUCCGGAAAGUCACCUCUGAGAACAGAAUCAGGGGAUACCAGAGUGCAAGACCUGAUAAGACAGUGGAGGAUCCCAAUAGUGUCACCAUCGCCAAGUCUCGCCUCUUGAUCAGACAUCCAGUCUCUCACGCGUUGAAACGCUACAGUGUCCAUCCAGUACCUCGCCUCCAUCCUGUCGGACUGCUGCUCAGGAGAGAUAUCAGAAGAUGCUGACUCAAAUCCAAAGACACUUGCGAAGCUAGGUUUCUGUCCAAAGAAACGUAUCCAUGCAUGUCUCCUCAGGUGUUUGUAGCAAAUACAUUGUGUCCUCUGAGCUUCCAAGCACCACAACAAUGAGUCCCUCUGACCGGUGGAUUAUCACGGCCUCAACUGUGUGAACAAGAUCGGUUUCAAACCGCAGGAAGUGUGCAAGGUCUGCUGCAUCGAGCUUCUGCGUAUCCAGCCCAGUGAACAGGAGCACGCGGCGCCUGUAACUCUCGUCGUCGUCUAUGACACACUGUGGCAGGAGCCGCCGGAGCAAGGUGGCAUCUCGGUCAGCAGGAUCAGCAAGUAAUGGAAAGAGUGACGAAUCAAACAGCUGAAGUCCCCUCUUUUUCAGCAAAUGAGGUGCCCUCCGGGCCACCAGCUCCGUGCUCUCGGUGUCAUCGUACACCAGGACGCCGGCUUGUCGAUCCCUGUGGACGAUUGCGGCAACCACAUACCCCCGAGCAAAAAGCACCUUCCAUGCCAAGUCACAUAAUCCAUAGGCUCCUUCGCUGAUCGGGGAUCUGCCAGCUCCAAUAAGAACGCAUCUCAGGUGGAACUCCCCAUCUUCAUCAGCAAGAAUGUACUGGGACGGUAGAAGCGACCGGAGCAUUCUGGCUGUGCAUCUCCUCACGAACUCGUCGGCAACACCGUCGAGGAUGUAUGAGCGUGAGACCUCCUCGUCGUGCCAGGUAGCCUAUUCAGUGAGAGUCAGAGACAAUAUUUCAGUUUGAAUGGAUUGUGCAUUAGACAGUAUUUCAGUUUUCGAAUGGAUUAAGCAUCAGCAUUACUGUGACGUUCAGAAUUGAUAGACAGACACACAAAAGGGUCACGGGAAGAUGACAGUGAGGACUCACCGGAGUGCAGGUGGCAUAGAGACCUUCGCGUGGUGUCUGAAUCGUAGCUGCAGCACUGUCAAUAGCAUCAAAGAAGACUAGAAGCCCAAUCCUGAAGCCAGUCUGGCUGUCCCGUACUAAAACUGCCGUCUGCACACCCAGUAUGCUCUGAAUCAAGUCGCACGGACUGACACUGGCUGGAACGCCGUCAAGCAGUAGACAUCUCUCAAGAAAGUGGGGGUCCUCCAGUACUUGUGGUGCCACGGUAUUCAUCAGGACUGCGAUCAAAUCCCUCAUGUAGCUGAAAGCCCGACCUUUCCUCUGCAAUGCAAUCGCGCGAACAAACGUCAGUAGAGCAAAACUGAAUGAACGAAACUGCAGUGACGGUCGUUCGACCGGCUAAAAGAAAGUAAUUCACGGAGCAAGAACAACACUGCAACAGCAGUUUGCAGGGCAAGAAGCCAAGAACACGGGGAGAAAAGAUAGCAAACAGCAAUUCGCCGCGAAUUCAUGUUCCAUUCAGUUUUGGAAUGAAUUAAACAUCAGCAUUACUGUGGCUAGUUUUGAAUGGAUUGUGCAUUAGACAGUAGUAUUUCAGUUUUGGAAUGGAUUAAGCAUCAGCAUUAUUGUGACUUUCAGAAUUGAUAGACAGACACACAAAAGGGUCACGGGAAGAGGACAGCGAGGACUCACAGGAGUGCAGGUGGCAUAGAGACCUUCGCGUGGUGUCUGAAUCGUAACUGCAGCACUGUCAAUAGCAUCAAUGAAGAUGAGAAGCCCAAUCCUGAAGCCAGUCUGGCUGUCCCGUACUAAAACUGCCAUCUGCACACCCAGUAUGCUCUGAAUCAAGUCGCACGGACUGACACUGGCUGGAACGCCGUCAAGCAGUAGACAUCUCUCAAGAAAGUGGGGGUCCUCCAGUACUUGUGGUGCCACGGUAUUCAGGACUGCGAUCAAAUCCCUCGUGGAGCUGAAAGCCCGACCUUUCCUCUGCAAUGCAAUCGCGCGAACAAACGUCAGUAGAGCAAAACUGAAUGAACGAAACUGCAAUGACGGUCGUCCGACCGGCUAAAAGAAAGUAAUUCACGGAGCAAGAACAACACUGCAACUAUCUGCUUAAUGAAAUACACGUCUUUGGCGUGCUCUAAAAAAAAUAAAAAUAAAAAGAACAACACUGCAACAGCAGUUUGCAGGGCAAGAAGCCAAGAACACGAGGAGAAAAGAUAGCAAACAGCAAUUCGCCGCGAAAUCAUGUUCCUUUCUUUCUCACCUAGCAGGGGCAAGAACAACACCGGGAACCAACAGCAAUUCGCGGCAAAUUCUCUCCCUAUCUUUCUCGUCGAGGAGAGGCAGAAGAACGAAAGCCAACAGCGACUCGCGAGCAGUUCACCGCGAAUUCACCUCCCUUUCUUUUUUUUCGCCGAACAGGGGCAAAAACCGAGGAGCAAGGCAGAAUGGAACGAACAACAAUUCGUGACCAAUUCCUCCCUUUCUCUGACGAACGAACAACCGUAAGGCAACAGCGAUUCGCGUGCCAAGAACACGACGUGCAAAGCAGAAUGGAACGAAGACCAGUUUACCGCGAAUUCAUCACCUCCCUUCUUUCUCACCGAGCAUGUGUAAGGACAACACCGGAAGGCAACAGAAAUUCGCGAGUCAAGAACACGACGGGCAAAACACAAUGAACAAACAGCAAUCCACGCGAAUCCUUUGCCCUUUCCUUCUUGGCGAGGAGGGCAAGAAUAACCGGAAGGCAACAGCGAUUCGCGAGGCAAGAACACGACGCGCAAAACAGAAUGGAACGAACAUCAGUUCACCGCGAAUUGACCUUCCUUCUUUCUCACCGAGAAGGUGCACAAACAACACCGGAAGCCAACAGCAAUUGCGGGUCAAGAACAUGACGGUCUGAUACAGAAUGAAGAAACAACAAUUCAUGAACUCCCCUCUCUUUCUUGCUUCGCGAGCAGGGCAAGAACAACAGGACGCCAACCGCAAUUUGCGAGGCAAGAACACGACGGGCACAAAUUCGACGCGAAAUCGCGAAUUCCUCUCCCACCGGGCAAGAACACGGCGGCCAAAAGAGCAAUGAACACGAUUACACGACCGGCAAGGAAACAACAGGAGAAAAGAAGAGCAAGAACGGCAAACAAGAAGACCGGAGGUAGGGGAAAGCACCUGUCUGGAAUGCCACAGGCCAGAGAGUAUGACGGGACGCGCACGCGCCGAAAUGGCACCGGCCGGAGGUGGGCGAGCCAUCUUCACCGGAGAAGAGAGCUUCGGGUCGCUGGAGAGGAAGAAGGCUUCGGAGGGUUUCUUCGGGUUUUCCCGUGAGGUUUGAGAGGUCGUGAGAGAGGGAAAAACAGGGGUUGGCGUUCUGUCUGGGCUCCGGCUUUUGUUUGCCAAACCGUCUUUCCCUGGAGAGAGGCCGAGGUGGCCUGAACGGAGACGAUGGAAGGGCCUAGAAAGCAGCCCGAGGUAUUCAUGUUCUGAUGUUCAUGGGCCCAAUUUGGUAUGGUUCCUGCCCUGAUGUGACUGGAAUGUGGUUUUUUUUUAAAGAUUAAGCGAUGGAAUGGUUUUCUUUGGUUAGUGGCCUGAAGACCGCAAGAGGCAUCCUGAUGUUGAAUGGCUUGUGUACCAUCAGGCUUCAGUGACUUGAAGACCGAAACAGAGGCAUUCAGUAUGAACAAUUGUGCUUAAUGUAAGCAAUUGCUGUAGUUUCGUAUGCAUUACUGUCCAGAAACUGGAACUGUAUAGGCCCGUCAACCAGCCGCUGUAUGGACUGGUUCCGCUUUUAUCUUUCCUUUGCACAAAAUUCAGUAAAAUGCAAUUGGGGGUGCUGCCAUGUACUUGUGCAAUUGGGGGUUCAGCUCAGCAGUUCAGAUUCCAAACCCAACAUACGGCUGGUUGUUUCGAUUCUGACGACUUGAUACAGGUGCUUUGUAAUUCUUGUGCGCGCGUCAGAACGAGGAAUAGCGGGCAUCUCGCCUUGUUGUUAUUGUCCGCAAAUCGUCGUGCUCCCCUCCCCUAAGCGCAUACAGCCGCAAGGCAAGAGGCAUCCAUCCUCGGAGAAGGCCAGAGCAACAUGCCGGCUGCCCUGAUGGGGCUGACGAUGGUCAGGCCACUGAUACAGUCCACUGAGUCCAGCAGCAAGGCAGUUUUGGCGGUGGCACCCGACUCGACGGCAGGCGGCACGGUGGCGGUUGAGGUGGAGCACGUGCACAGGACACUUGGCCGUCCACCGAGCUGAGCUCAUGCAUAGAUAGGCUCGUAAAGCUCGGGAUCUAGCAGGAUGUCGCCGGUGAAGGGGUUGAACAGCAGGGGCCCCGCGGCGCGUGUGGGUGUCGCCCACGACGAGGGCGAGCCACCCAUCUCGCGAGGCGCCGACGCACUGGUGACCUGUGGCGCCUGAUCCUAGUUGAACGGAGUGCAGACCGCCGUGAGGGAGCCUGGCUAGCGCCACCGCCCGCCGCGCAUGGAGGGAGCAGAGCAGGCUCGUCGCGCGGGAGGACAGCGCGGAGCGCCACGCGCCUCUGACGGAACGCGCGGGCGUGGCGGAGCGAGUUGAGAUAUUCCAUUCAGCCUCUGCCGACGCGGCGGCGCUUGCAUCGCCGUCGAGCGUCGAGGACGGAGAAGAGAUUUGGGACCGGUUUGCCGUCGUUUACUUGGGCCUUGUUUAGUUCCGAAAAAAUUUCGGAUUUCUGUAGCACUUUCGUUUGUUUGUGACAAAUAUUAUCUAAUUAUGGACUAACUAGGAUCAAAAGUUUCGUCUCGCGAUUUACAGUUAAACUGUGUAAUUAGUUUUUGCUUUCGUCUAUAUUUAAUACUUUAUGCAUUUGCCGCAAGAUUCGAUGUGACAGAGAAUCUUGAAAACUUUUUGCUUUUUGGAGUGAACAAAACAAGGCCUUGGUAGUUGGUUCUAAACCGUUUUGAGGCCAUCAGGCCAACCCGUUUCAAAGACCUGAGCGGAUUGGGUUCAUUAGCUGGUUUCAGCCCAACCCGUGAACAGGCCUACUUAGAGGAGCAGUACACUGUACACAGAGAACAUUUUCUGAUGCUCUACAUGGCCAUCCAAUCAGCAUAGUCGUCUAAUAUAGCGUUUGGUCUCGUAAUUUUGAGAUGUUACCCAUUCACAGAGUAAUCUGAGUAUUGUUUGGCUCACUUGGGCACAACAUGCAAACUGAUUAUCUACGAUCUGGCGUAGAACCAAACAAAAUGCAAAACUUGUUAUCCUGUAAUCAUCACCCCAAGCAUCUCAUAUACUCAAUCCAUCCUAAAUUAUAAGAAGUUUAACUUUUAUCACCAAGUUUAAUCACCUGUCUUAUUCAAAAAUGUGUGCAAAAUAUCAUUUCUUUUGUCAUGUCUUGGGAUAAAAAAGUCAAACAUCUUAUAAUUUGAGACGGAUGGAGUACCAUUUAUGUCUACAGUAUCAUUUAUGAACCGAACAGCACCUGAGAACGAAAAAUUGGAAUACCAAUUUGGACAUUCAGUUUGAAACAUAGGAUGCCAAACGAGCAACAGCCACAGAAACUAGAAUACACAAUUCAUGGUGUCCAGAUACGAUGCCAAUGCUUGAAAUUAAGAGUGUCAGUAGUGCGGUGCAAAAAUGUCUACCAUCGUAGGAUUUCUGAAUUCAAGACCACAAAAAUUUAGCCACGACACCUAAAGUGUCCAUCUCACAUUUCAACCAAUUGCUGUCGCAGGAUCCUACACGGCACUACUCAUCGUCCUCCUCACCAUCAUCGCCACCGCCUGAGGCCUUCUUCUGGUUCUUCCGCUUCACCCUUCCAGCUGGACCGCCACCUAGAGGGCUGGUGAGGGAGAAGUCAAUGUGCUUCUCUGAUUCGACCCUGACCAUGAACGAGGGGAUGUUGACGAGCUGCCUUCCCACCCUGUGAAAGUACAAUGUUAGAUCAUAAAGGAGACAAAAGUCUCAAAAAUCCAAGUUGCUAAACUGAACUUUUCUGUCAAUCUACCAAACUAUGGCAAGGAUUUAGAUUUAAAAGUAUAAGCAUCUCCAUGAAUAAUUUGGUCUCUUUCACCCCAGCUUGUUAUCUAUGUGGCACACAGAACUAAUUCAGUGAUACAUGUUACAAAAUAUCACUCUGUGCUAAGACGGUACAUGCAAAGCACUCUAUGUUACUAGAACACAAGUAAAGCAAUGAAUUAGAAAGCAACAACAUGAGGCAGAGUUACGACACUGACAACAUGAACCAGGACUGAGUCUGACAGGUUUGAGAAUGGGCAGAACAAGGCAUUCCAUAUAUUGAUUAGAAACUAAAGGAUCUGAAGGAAAUAUGACAACAUAAUCACACAUUGAAAGGAAAAAAAGGAAAACAGAAACAUGUUAUUUGUACUUCCAAUAGGGCACUCAGAAUGAAAAGGACAUAAGAAUCAUUGACCUUCUGGCCUCGGAGAUACAUUAGCAAAAUUAACUCCUCAUUGUGCCCAACAAAACAUAGAAAUAUAUGCAGACAUUCAAAGGAACAUGGCAUGAUGUGCAGGUAUAAAGCAAUUUGCAACAAAAAAACCAGAUUUGCAAAAGUACAGGGAGCUAAUGGACUUGAACUGAAUUGUCAACAUAAUAAAAUUUCUUACCCUUAUUAAACUACAUUAACAAAUAAUAAUAAUAAAGAAUGAAGGAUAAAAGACUGUUAAAACAAUAUACUGAACCACACAUCCCAAAUGUGCAGUGCCACCAGGAUUACACAUUUUUACACUGGAGAAGACAGAGCACGUACCUCACUACAGUAAACAAAAACCACAGAGAAAGGCAAGGGUCAUACAAAACUAUUCAUUAUGGUAAAAGGUAUAGGAAUCAAAUGUAACCAAGGGCAUCAGAGAAACAUGACUGCAACAUUACACACAAAGUGUCUCAGACGACCGUCGUGAGAAUUGCACAUGGUUUUUCAUCAUAUGGCCCAUCCAAGAUCAAAUGUGCCUUUACAACUAACAUACAACCAGCAGCCAUAAAAUAUAAAGAAAACUGAGCACAAACUGGAACAGUAUAUUGCAAACCCAUAACUAUCAUAGGAAAUGCUGGAAUGCCACAAGUCUAAGGAACAGAAGACAUCUACAUCUACAUAUACAAAGAAAACGUAGGAACUGCUCAGACCUGCAAUUACCAACUCUCUAUAUGUGAGCAUUUUAUGAUACAACUGAAAUUGAUGCACAUUUGAGGGAUCAGGACAUAUAAACGUACCUGAUGUGGCGCUGCCUGAUCAGGACACGAGCAUGGUGGAUGGACUUGGCCAUGCCAUUCUUGAAGACAAUGGUCUGGAGGCGGCGCUGGAGGAAGUUCUCAACAGUAAGGGCAAGCACGUAAUCGAGCUUGUUCUGUCCCUCACCCAGGAGACCAUAUCGGUUCAUGCGGCGGAGGAGCGCCUCACCCUCAAAGAUACGGCGUGGGUUCUUCUCAUCCAGAGUGAGAAGCUCCCUGGCUGCAUUUCUGAUACGGCUCAGGGCAUACUGCACGCGCCACAGCUCACGCUUGCAGCGCAGGCCAUACUCACCAACCAGCUUCAGCUCAGCAUCUAGUCGCUCCUUCUCAUACGGACGCCUUGGCUUCUUGAAAGUCUUCCCAUCUGCAACAUGCAACAACAUCAUAAGCUACUGAUUGCACUACAAAAAUUAGCUUUGGGAAAUAACUGAGAGGGGUAUCUGUAACAACUAAACUGUCACAAUCAGUUACUUCCUAGUAUUGAUAACGCAGCUAGAGCCUAUACUAGAUGGUGCUAACCGUUUGACUGGUUGAGCAACAACAAAAAUUGCAAGAAUACUUUAAGGACAUUGUCUGAUACUAUUUGAUUUUAAGGAGUACUAAGCCAGUACAAAGCUUGGCGUUUAGAAUUAUGAUCCAGCACCAUUUCACCCUGAUAUACGGAUUUCAACCUACAUGCAUAUCCGCGCAAUCAGCUCACCUUAAGGGCAAUCCACCAAACUUUAGACUUGACGGAUCAAAGCAAAGCCGAAAGGUAUUGUUCGACCAUCCGAAUUGCUACUAUUAAGUGUAUCCCAAAGGAAAAUUCAUCACUAUAUAUACUGCAUUCCCAACACUACUGGUGGAACAAUCUAGAGAACCGCAAGGAACUAACAGCACGAGCUGGAUCGACCUAGAUAUCUACUGUACGUCUAUGGAAGUCACAAGGCAACAUGCAUAUAAUGCAGUAGAAGAGGGGAUCUUACAGUUGCGGUAGAAGCUAACAUGCACCAUGGCUGCCGCGGCAGGGUGGCGCGGUUGGUCGUCGAGUUGCCGCCGCCGGAGGAAGUGCGAGAGACGGGAGGCGGGGAUGGAAGACGAGAUCUUAUAAGGGAUGUAAACCCUAGCUUUGAUUAGAUGGGCCGGGCUUCAAUAAAUUCUGUCUGUUCACUUAUUUAAGUGUCAUCGGCCCGGUCUGUGUUGCUAUGGGCUUUUUUCGCUAGAUGGGCACCCCGAACGCGGCUCACAGCCCACGUUCUUUUUUGCUCUGGCGACACGCGCACGCGCGCCUGCCGCCUGCCGAACAGUCGUCGACGUCUCCUCGACGAACUCAUGCGACCGAGCCGCGGCGCCCGCCUGCCCAACCCAACCGAGAGCGAUGCCGCCGCGGAAGCCACUGACGGCGCUGCUGAAGUCGGCGACGCGGCCGGUGCACCUGCUCCAGCUCCACGCCCUGAUGCUGAAAUGCUCCCACUUCCCGCACCACGCGUUCCCCACAGCCAGGCUUCUCGCCUCCCCGCUCGCGCCGCUCCCCUACGCGCUCUCCCUCUUCGCCGCCGUCCCGCGGCCCACGCUCUUCCACCACACUGCCGUCCUCCGCGCGCUUUCCUCGUGCCCCUCCGUGGCCUCCCUUUCCGCGUCCCUCUCAGUCCUCGCCUCCGCGCGGGCGCGCCUCCCCGAGCUCGACGAGUUGCGUUCCAGCCGCUGCUCGCGCUCUGCGCGAAAAUGCCCAGUGACGCCGAGGCAGCUUCGGUUGGCAAGCAGGUGCACGCGCUCGUGCUGCGGUACGGGUUCCUGGACGUUGUGAGCCUGCGGAAUGUGCUGUGCCACUUUUACUGCAGCAGUGGGAACAUGGCGGACUCGCGGAGGAUGUUCGAGGAAAUGCCUGAGAAGGACGCUGUGUCGUGGAACACGGUGAUUGGGGGCUAUGUCAGGGUAGAGGAUGUGGGCACAGCUUUGCAGAUGUUCACCGCGAUGAGGUGGUCUGGAGUGGAUGUCAACGUGACGGCAGUGAUCACCUUGAUUGGGUGUGGCUGGCAAGGGGAGUCAGUGCAUGGCUUAUGUGUUAAGACAGGGCUCUGCGACGAUGUGAAGAUUGCAGCAGCAAUGAUGGGGAUGUAUGUGAGGGAGGGCAGCGUUGAGUGUGCAAAUAAGGUGUUUCAUGAGACCACUAGACGAGACUUGGUGCUGUGUAAUUGUAUGGUGGAUGGCUAUGCAAAGGCAGGGCAGAUUCGUGAGGCGAUGGACUUGAUUGAUGGAAUGAGACAGCACGGGAUGAGACCUAGUUCAGGGACGCUUGUGGGUGUUCUCUCUGCGUGUGGAACAUCUGGGGCAUUGGCAGCCGGUCAUUCUGUCCAUGAGCUUGCUGAAGAUGCACGGCUUGAGAUUGACAGCACGCUUGGGACAGCGCUCAUGGACAUGUACUUCAAGUGUGGGUGCCCCAGCGAGGCAGCUGCAGUCUUCGAUGCAAUACGAAAUAGGGACGUGAAGGCAUGGACAGCGAUGAUCAUGGGAUUCGGAGUUAAUGGGCAGCCAGGCUCAACCAUCACCUUGUUCUACAGGAUGGAGGAAGACGGUGUGUUUCCUAAUGACGUCACCUUCCUAGCCCUGCUAACUGCUUGUAACCAUGGCGGGUUGGUGCAGGAAGCGAAAGAAUUCCUUGAGACAAUGGCACGGCGAUACAGAUUGUCUCCAAGCCCCGAGCACUACAGCUGCGUCAUUGAUCUCCUGGGAAGAGCAGGGCGCCUAUACGAAGCCUAUGAGCUCAUACAAAGCGUGUCAUCCCAGGGUGAUGCUACUGCAUGGAGAGCGUUGCUUGCAGCCUGCAGAGUGUAUGGCAAUGUGAAGCUGGGGAGGAUGGUGCAGGAAUAGUUGGACGCCAUUGGCCACUACCAUCCUUCAGAUGCCAUUCUGCUGUCAAACGCGUACGCAUUGGAAGGCCGGUGGGAUGAGAUAGCUCAGCUGAGGGAUUCAGAAGCACAGAAAAUAUCUGUGGAGAAGGAAACAGGCUGCAGCUCCAUUAUUGUGUCUUGCUGAUGUAUUCAGACUUGCUGAAUUUAAGCAACUAACAACUGAACUCAAGGUGGGAUUCCCAGGCAGACUAGCUUUUGAUCGGGGUUAUCCAAACUUGUACAGAACUAAAUAUAAAUAGAAGAGUGAUUAAAAUGUUUUCUAGAAUCGGGUCAACUUUGAACUGCUUGGUUCAACUUGUAUAUGUAGCCAAUGGCGUCCAACUGUGCCUGCAACCUGCAGAUUGACAACUAGUAGUAAGAAAAGAGACCGAAGGUUGGAAAUAGAUAAAAGGUGAGAUAGAAUGUCCAUAAGGAUUGUGUACCCAAAGCCUGUUUAGGAUAAACAGACAACAAAGUUGUUCAGUAGCUGAUAUGUAUUAGGAAGAGUGGAACUUGGAGUUUAUGAAAAAACUUGGAGACGAUGAUGUAGAGGAAUGGGAGAAACUAAUGGCGUCUUUGGAAAUGUGGAGGUGACUAGUGAGGAGAAUAGCUGGGGUUAUAUAAGCUUGAAUCCACUGGCAAGUUCUCCAUAAAAUCUCUCUAUAUAGGUUGAUGACCUUGGAGUGGUGGUUGAUCAAAAAAUGAAAGACAUUUGGGACACUAGGUUACCUCUAAAAAUAAAUUUUUUGUGUGUGUAUGAUUUAGGCAUAAAAGUGGAACUGGUGAGCAUUUGAAGAGGAGAAAGUGGAAAGGCAGCUAUCUUCCUCUUUAUUCCCACAAAACAAAAUAUGAAUAUUUUUGGCAUGUAGGUCGAUUUAGUUCUACCAUUAGUUAAACUUAAAAAUGUUAUCGGGUUUAUAAAUAAUUGAAUUUGAAAAUGUAAUAAGGAGCAACGAGUUUCUUGCGUGCUACUACAAGAGAUGAGGAAGACGAAUAACGAGGACAAGGUGUGGUCAAAGUGACUCUCACUACUUUACCCUAUUGUUGGAUAGAUUGCAUUGUGUCGAAGUGAGGUCGUUGGUGUCAAUGAUGAGUGUGUACGAACACAGAAAAAUUAUCCUUAAAGGACAUAUGUCCCAUGUGCAUUACCAACACAAACACUUUGCUAAGGGCACAUGCCCCAUAUGCAUCAUUGGUAAGCACGAAGCACAUCUGGGUAUGUUUAGUUUCUCAUGACUAAAAUUUAACUAUUAAAAUCAAUUACUAAAACUUUAGUCGCCCCUAUUUCGUUCCAGUGACUAAAAGUUACUGAAGGCCAUGAAAUCAGUUCAACAAAGACCAAACUAUGGUGGGGGACUAGAAAUAAUGAGGGGCAACCCCUGUCCACUUGGCACUUUAGCCCACUUUAGUCAUUCCUGAUGUACUAAUAUGACUAAACUACUUUAGUCCCAUUUUAGUCAAUUUGUUUGGCAGUUUAGUAGCUGAAGUGAGGGGAAAACCAAAUAGGCCCCUUACGAUCCUAUUAGCUAGAGGAAGGUCCGAAGUCUAAACAAAUGCCUACUUUAGGGACUUGAACUUUAGCUCACGAGGUAGGCGAUGGUAGAACUGAAGUCCACGAUGGUGCCACCUACGACAUCUUUCACCUUAAAAGUAGAACGUGUUUACCAAACGUUUUUUUUAACUAAUGAAGUUGGAGCCAAAUGACGACCAAAGUGUUGUGAUCCGAGGUGAUGGUGGGGGUUUGUGCCCGGCCGCUAAAUCCGCCUCUGACUGGUACAGUAGCUGAGGCACUUGAACAACUCGUACUGAUGCUCGUCGGUUUAUUUCUAUGGCUUUUCCAUACUUGGUGAUGCUGGUGCCAUCCAUCCACAAGUGACCAUCUGCAUCCAUUGUUGGCCCGUAAAUCUGUGACCUUCUUGAUGGCACGAACGAACUGGUGACUGGACCCUCGUUGAGGUAGUUUUGGAACACAAUCGCUGGCCUAGAUUCCAUCUACAGUGGUGUUGUUGAUUGUGUGCUACCUUCGAUCCUUGUUGCCUCCACAGUUGGCUCUGUGCUACCUUCUGCGGAUACUGACACCGAAUCUCCCGUAGUCGACGCAGCUGAGGGGUACAAAUUAACCUAUAAUAAUUGUUAAAAAAAAUUAACAUAACAAAUUGAUAACACAGAAUACUGAAUUGUUUUUUUCAGAGUAGUACACACAUUGUGAGAGGGGGGCAAGCAAAUUAAACAAAAGAGCACGAUCGAGUACCUACCUUGAUACUGCUCGGAUGGAUGAAAAUAGUGGGGAGCGCUAGGUGGGGAGGCGGAACUGCGCUAUACACCCCGUGCGAUGCCUCCUCCUGCCUCGAGAAAGCGAUCGGGACGGUCGCUUCGUCCCUGAAGACGAUCACCGCCAUGCCCAGGUGUCGGCACAAGGCGAUCGCCUCGAUGGCGCCGAACCGCGCCAGAUCGGCGCGCAGGUCGUCGUCGCCAUUGUCGGGGAAGAACAAGUCGAGACGCUGGGCGAGGAUGCUGCGGCUAUGGAAACUGGCCGGGUCCCCGGAGAGUUGGCUCCCUGCGGCUGCGGCUGCGGGGGCCAGGAGGUCGCGCGCCAGGGUCGCCCUCUCCACGACGUGACCGUACAUGCGCCGUAGGUUUUCUAGGGUCACCAUGUUUGUUUCUUGGAUGGAUCUCUGCUGGGUGCCCUUACUCUGGUUGCCUUGUGUGUUCCUGGAUCUUUGUUACGCGCGUGCAUGCGUGUAUAUAUACAAAAGUACUACUAGUAUAUGCGGAGGGCAUGGCAUCGGAUCGGACACGGAAACAGACUCCGAACCAGAUAGACUUCGCAUGCUAACGGACUACAUACGGUGGGUGUAACAAGAUAUAGUUUAUAUUUCAAUAGCAAAACAUUUAAAACAUCAAUAAAAGUGUGGAUAAGUAUUUCAACAUGUACAAAUAUUUAAAUCAAUUAAUAAAUUUGAAUAUAUAAAAAUAAUGCAUAAUGAAUAUGUAAAUAUAGUAAAGUACUUAAAAUUAGUAUGACUAUACAUAUUAAAGUUAACUAAACUUGUCCUUUAUAUAUCAUAAACUAUGAUGUUAUUUUUAAUAGUUUUGCAUUAUCAUAAAUAUAAGUUUUAAAUUAUAAAAAAAUAAACUUAACAUUUAUGAUUAGUCAUAUUAGCAAUAUAGCUAACUUUUAAAAGGUUUAAAUGAGUUAUAUUAAAAAAAGUAUCAUUUAGAUUGUGAAUUAGUCAUAAAUAUAAUUUCACACGGUACAUUGUUCUUCAUGGUAUAGAUAACAUUGGAUAUUUUACAUUUUUCAAAUAUGGAUGUGGAACUAGAUAGAGAAGAAUCAUGAAAAACAUAUAUUUGAAUAUAUCCAUCUAGUAUCCAUAUUGAAAUCGGAUACAAAUACAGAUAACCAUAUCAACAUUCAGACUGAUAUGUAUAUAAGAUCUUUUGGACAUUUAGACAUCCAAAUCCAUCCCUAAAGUUGUCUUAGAAAAUCCAAGAUACUACAUAAAGAUUCUAAAAUCCAUGAUUUAGUCAUUCUUCUAAAAUAAAACAUCCUAAAAAACCAUAGUACUACAACAAUCUUUAUAAAUUUUCUAGUUUCAAAAUUUAAAACAAGCCCGACGCACCCAUGGCGCUUGGCGCAUAGUCUAGCGCCUACGGUAAAGUUUAUUUUGCCCUUAGACCAGUCUCAAUGCAUGUUUUAUAAGAGUGUCAUGCACAUUAAAUAGGAUGCCACAUAAGCAAAAUUACUGACUUGGCACGGUCAUUAAAUGAAGAAGUUUCAUCAGAUGAGAGAAGAGUUUCAUCCGCAUAAAACUCAUAUGGCUCGAUUACCUAGUUUGUAGUUUUGGUAACUGUGCCAUGAAACUAUGCAGUGAGACUGGCCUUACGGACAUGUGCCCUCACUCUCCCACCCAUUGAAUUCGCUUUGAGAAGUGUGCAAACGCACAUCUCAAUGCGAAACUGUUUUAAGAUGUGUGUUUGCACACUUCUCAAAGCAAAUUUAAUAGAUGAGAGAGUGAGGACAUGUACCAUUAGGCUCAAUGCAUAGUUUCAUGGCACAGUUACCAAGACUAUAAACUAGGUAACCGUGCCACAGAAGUUUCAUGGGGAUGAAACUCCUCUCUCAUCUGAUGAAACUCCUUCAUUUAAUGACUCUGUCAAGUCAGUAAUUUUGCUUAUGUGGCACCCUAUUUAAUGUGCAUGAUACUCCCAUGAAACAUGCAUUGAGAAAAAAAAACCGCCUUCAUACAUCUACAAGCUCUUCAAUGCGACCAACGUCCCGGACCCGUGUAUGAAGUGAACUAGGACUAUAAAUUCUAGCAAACGCACAUCGAACAGAAGAAUUUUCUCUAUAUUCUAGCAAAGGCAUACAAGGGAAACUACAAUAUCUUGUCAGGGACAGAAAAGGCAGCUCAAAUGUAAUAUACGGUACGGCAGUACGCACGAGAUCAUUUAUCAUACACGUGUAUGAAAACUACAAAAGGAAAAGAUGGCUGAGCUUCAGUUCACUGCAGCAACUGGGCCAUGACAUCUUGAGCGAUGACCCCAGCGUGGUGAGCAUCAGGCACUCGACUACACUCCACGAACCCAAGACCUGCCCAGGUAUUCUGAGGCUCCCUUAAUAGCCUGGCUGCACUGUGCCAACAUCUGAAGACAGCCAACGCCAAUCCACUCUUGUCUAGUGCCACAUUGUAUAGGUCACCAAACACAGAAAGUCUAACUGAGAGAUCAAAACAUGAAGUGCCCUCAACAACACCUGAUAGAAGCAAGGAUCUCUCCGGAAAGUCACCUCUGAGAACAGAAUCAGGGGAUACCAGAGUGCAAGACCUGAUAAGACAGUGGAGGAUCCCAAUAGUGUCACCAUCGCUAAGUCUCGCCUCUUGAUCAGACAUCCAGUCUCUCACGCGUUGAAACGCUGCAGUUUCCAUCCAGUACCUCGCCUCCAUCCUGUCGGACUGCUGCUCAGGAGAGAUAUCAGAAGAUGCUGACUCAAAUCCAAAGGCACUUGCGAAGCUAGGUUUCUGUCCAAAGAAACGUAUCCAUGUCUCCUCAGGUGUUUGUAGCAAACACAUUGUGUCCUCUGAGCUUCCAAGCACCACAACAAUGAGUCCCUCUGACCGGUGGAUUAUCACGGCCUCAACUGUGUGAACAAGAUCGGUUUCAAACCGCAGGAAGUGUGCAAGGUCUGCUGCAUCGAGCUUCUGCGUAUCCAGCCCAGUGAACAGGAGGACGCGGCGCCUGUAACUCUCGUCGUCGUCUAUGACACAUUGUGGCAGCAGCCGCCGGAGCAAGGUGGCAUCUCGGUCAGCAGGAUCAGCAAGUAAUGGAAAGAGUGACGAAUCAAACAGCUGAAGUCCCCUCUUUUUCAGCAAAUGAGGUGCCCUCCGGGCCACCAGCGCCGUGCUCUCGGUGUCAUCGUACACCAGGACGCCGGCUUGUCGAUCCCUGUGGACGAUUGCGGCAACCACAUACCCCCGAGCAAAAAGCACCUUCCAUGCCAAGUCACAUAAUCCAUAGGCUCCUUCGCUGAUCGGGGAUCUGCCAGCUCCAAUAAGAACGCAUCUCAGGUGGAACUCCCCAUCUUCAUCAGCAAGAAUGUACUGGGACGGUAGAAGCGACCGGAGCAUUCUGGCUGUGCAUCUCCUCACGAACUCGUCGGCAACACCGUCGAGGAUGUAUGAGCGUGAGACCUCCUCGUCGUGCCAGGUAGCCUAUUCAGUGAGAGUCAGAGACAAUAUUUCAGUUUGAAUGGAUUGUGCAUUAGACAGUAUUUCAGUUUUCGAAUGGAUUAAGCAUCAGCAUUACUGUGACGUUCAGAAUUGAUAGACAGACACACAAAAGGGUCACGGGAAGAUGACAGUGAGGACUCACCGGAGUGCAGGUGGCAUAGAGACCUUCGCGUGGUGUCUGAAUCGUAGCUGCAGCACUGUCAAUAGCAUCAAAGAAGACUAGAAGCCCAAUCCUGAAGCCAGUCUGGCUGUCCCGUACUAAAACUGCCGUCUGCACACCCAGUAUGCUCUGAAUCAAGUCGCACGGACUGACACUGGCUGGAACGCCGUCAAGCAGUAGACAUCUCUCAAGAAAGUGGGGGUCCUCCAGUACAUGUGGUGCCACGGUAUUCAGGACCGCGAUCAAAUUCCUCAUGUAGCUGAAAGCCCGACCCUUCCUCUGCAAUGCAAUCGCGUGAACAAACGUCAGUAGAGCAAAACUGAAUGAACGAAACUGCAGUGACGGUCGUUCGGUCGGCUAAAAGAAAGUAAUUCACGGAGCAAGAACAACACUGCAACAGCAGUUUGCAGGGCAAGAAGCCAAGAACACGGGGAGAAAAGAUAGCAAACAACAAUUCGCCGCGAAUUCAUGUUCCAUUCUUUCUCGCCUUGCAGGGGCAACAACAACACCGGGAGCAACACUAAUCCGCGCGCAAGGACACGAGGAGCAAAACAGAACAAAAGCAAUUCGCCGCAAAUUCCUGUCCCUAUCACCGAAAGCCAACAGCGAGUUCACCGCGAAUUCACCUCCCUUUCUUUUUCUCUCCGAACAGGGGCAAAAACCGAGGAGCAAGACAGAAUGGAACGAACAGCAAUCCGUGACAAAUUCCUCCCUUCCUCUGACGAAAGAACAACCGUAAGGCAACAGCGAUUCGCGUGGCAAGAACACGACGUGCAAAGCAGAAUGGAACGAAGACCAGUUUACUGCGAAUUCAUCACCUCCCUUCUUUCUCACCGAGCUCCGAGCAUGUGUAAUGUAAGGACAACACCGGAAGGCGACAGCAAUUCGCGAGUCAAGAACACGACGGGCAAAACACAAUGAACAAACAGCAAUCCGCGCGAAUCCUUUGCCCUUUCUUUCUCGGCGAGGAGGGCAAGAACAACCGGAUGGCAACAGCGAUUCGCGAGGCAAGAACACGACGCGCAAAAAAGAAUGGAACGAACAUCAGUUCACCGCGAAUUGACCUCCCUUCUUUCUCACCGAGCAGGUGCACAAACAACUCCGGAAGCCAACAGCAAUUGCGGGUCAAGAACAUGACGGCCUGAUACAGAAUGAAGAAACAGCAAUUCGUGCGAACUCCCCUCUCUUUCUUGCUCCGCGAGCAGGGCAAGAACAACCGGACGCCACCCGCAAUUUGCGAGGCAAGAACACGACGGGCACAAAUUCGACGCGGAAUCGCGAAUUCCUCUCCCACCGGGCAAGAACACGACGGCCAAAAGAGCAAUGAACACGAUUACACGACCGGCAAGGAAACAACAGGAGAAAAGAAGAGCAAGAACGGCAAACAAGAAGACCGGAGGUAGGGGAAAGCACCUGUCUGGAAUGCCACAGGCCAGAGAGUAUGACGGGACGCGCACGCGCCGAAAUGGCACCGGCCGGAGGUGGGCGAGCCAUCUUCACCGGAGAAGAGAGCUUCGGGUCGCUGGAGAGGAAGAAGGCUUCGGAGGGUUUCUUCGGGUUUUCCCGUGAGGUUUGAGAGGUCGCGAGGGAGGGAAAAACAGGGGUUGGCGUUCUGUCAGGGCUCCGGCUUUUGUUUGCCAAACCGUCUUUCCCUGGAGAGAGGCCGAGGCGGCCUGAACUGAGACGAUGCAAGGGCCAGCCCGAGGUAUUCAUGUUUUGAUGUUCAUGGGCCCAAUUUGGUAUGGUUCCUGCCCUGAUGUGAUCAGAAUGUGUUUUUUUUAAUUAAGCGAUGGAAUGGUUUUCUUUGGUCAAUGACCUGAAGACCGCAAGAGGCAUCCUGAUGUUGAAUGGCUUGUGUACCAUGACUACCAUCAAGGCUUCAGUGACUUGAAGACCGAAACAGAGGCACUCAGUAUCUACAUACUGCAUACUAUCAACAAUUGCUGCAUAAUGCAAGCAAUUGCUGUAGUUUCGUAUGCAUUACUGUCCAGGUUUCUGGAACUGUAUAGGCCCGUCAACCAGCCGCUCUAUGAACUGGUUCCGCUUUUAUCUUUCCUUUGCACAAAAUUCAGUAAAAUGCAAUUGGGGGUGCUGCCAUGUCCUUGUACAAUUGGGGGUUCAGCUCAGCAAUUCAGAUUCCAAACCCAACAUACGGCUGGUUGUUUCGAUUCCGACGAGUUGAUACAGGUGCUUUGUAAUUCUUGUGCGCGCGUCAGAACGAGCAACAGCCCUAAGCGCAUGCAGCCGCAAGGCAAGGGGCAUCCAUCCUCGGAGAAGGCCAGAGCGACAUGCCGACUGCCCUGAUGGCUGACGAUGGUCAGGCCACUGAUACAGUCCACUGAGUCCAGCAGCAAGGCAGUUUUGGCAGUGGCACCCGACUCGACGGCAGGCGGCACGGUGGCGGUUGAGGUGGAGCACGUGCACAGGACACUUGGCCGUCCAUCGAGCUGAGCUCAUGUCGUAAAGCUCGGGAUCUAGCAGGAUCUCACCGGUGAAGGGGUUGAACAGCAGGGGCCCCGCGGCGCGUGUGGGCGUCGCCCACGACGAGGGCGAGCCACCCAUCUCGCGAGGCGCCGACGCACUGGUGACCUGUGGCGCUGAUCCUAGUGGAACGGAGUGCAGACCGCCGUGAGGGAGCCUGGCUAGCGCCACCGCCCGCCGCGCGUGGAGGGAGCAGAGCAGGCUCGUCGCGCGGGAGGACAGCGCGGAGCCGCGAGAACGGCGACGGGAGCGCGGAGCGCCACGCGCCUCUGACGGAACGCGCGGGCGUGGCGGAGCGAGUUGAGAUAUUCCAUUCAGCCUCUGCCGACGCGGCGGCGCCUGCAUCGCCGUCGAGCGUCGAGGACAGAGAAGAGAUUUGGGACCGGUUUGCCGUCGUUUACUUGGUAGUUGGUUCUAAACCGUUUUGAGGCCAUCAGGCCAACCCGUUUCAAAGACCUGAGCGGAUUGGGUUCAUUAGCUGGUUUCAGCCCAACCCGUGAACAGGCCUAGAGGAGCAGUACACAGAGAACAUUUUUUGAGGCUCUACAUGGCCAUCCAAUCAGCAUAUAGUCGUAUAAUGUAGCGUUUGGUUUCGUAAUUUUGAGAUGUUACCCAUUCACAGAGUAAUCUGAGUUUUGUUUGGCUCAGUUGGGCACUUGCGUAAUCAGGCCCCGUGUAAUCAGGUCUGAGGUUAGUGCAAAUCCAGCGCUAACGGUUACCACAGCUCCACGGACCAAGGGCCAUAGGCGAACCUGAACGAAAUACACAACAUGCAAACUGAUUAUCUACGAUCUGGCGUAAAUGCAAAACUGGUUAUCCUUACUCAAUCCAUCCUAAAUUAUAAGAAGUUUAACUUUUGACACCAAGUUUAAUCACCUGUAUUAUUCAAAAAUGUAUGCAAAAUAUCAUUUCUUUUGUCAUGUCUUGGGAUAAAAAAGUCAAACAUCUUAUAAUUUGAGACGGAUGGAGUACCAUUUAUGUCUACAGUAUCAUUUAUGAACCGAACAGCACCUGAGAACGAAAAGUUGGAAUACCAAUUUGAUUCAGACAUUCAGUUUUAAACAUAGGAUGCCAAACGAGCAAAUAGCCACCGAAACUAGAAUACACAAUUCAUGGUGUCCAGAUACGAUGCCAAUGCUUGAAAUUAAGAGUGUCAGUAGUGCGGUGCAAAAUUGUCUACCAUAGUAGGAUUUCUGAAUUCAAGACCACAAAAAUUUAGCCACGACACCUAAAGUGUCCAUCUCACAUUUCAACCAAUUGCUGUCGCAGGAUCCUACAUGGCAUUACUCAUCGUCGUCCUCACCAUCAUCGCCACCGCCUGAGGCCUUCUUCUGGUUCUUCCGCUUCACCCUUCCAGCUGGACCGCCACCCAGAGGGCUGGUGAGGGAGAAGUCAAUGUGCUUCUCUGAUUCGACCCUGACCAUGAACGAGGGGAUGUUGACGAGCUGCCUUCCCACCCUGUGAAAGUACAAUGUUAGAUCAUAAAUCAUAAAGGAGACAAAAGUCUCAGAAAUCCAAGUUGCUAAACUGAACUUGUCUGUCAAUCUACCAAACUAUGGCAAGGAUUUAGAUUUAAAAGUAUAAGCAUCUCCAUGAAUAAUUUGGUCUCUUUCACCCCAGCUUGUUAUCUAUGUGGCACACAGAAUUAAUUCAGUGAUACAUGUUACAAAAUAUCACAUUGUGCUAAGACGGUACAUGCAAAGCACUCUAUUUUACUAGAACACAAGUAAAGCAAUGAAUUUGAAAGUAACAACAUGAGGCAGAGUUACGACACUGACAACAUAAACCAGGACUGAGUCUGACAGGUUUGAGAAUGGCCAGAACAAGGCAUUCCAUAUAUUGAUUAGAAACUAAAGGAUCUGAAGGAAAUAUGACAACAUAAACACACAUUGAAAGGAAAAAAGGAAAACAGAAACAUGUUAUUUGUACUUCCAAUAGGGCACUCAGAAUGAAAAGGACAUAAGAAUCAUUGACCUUCUGGCCUCGGAGAUACAUUAGCAAAAUUAACUCCUCAUUGUGCCCAACAAAACAUAGAAAUAUAUGCAGACAUUCAAAGGAACAUGGCAUGAUGUGCAGGUAUAAAGCAAUUUGCAACAAAAAAACCAGAUUUGCAAAACUACAGGGAGCUAAUGGACUUGAACUGAGUUGUCAACAUAAUAAAAUUUCUAGGAUAUCAGAAUGAAGGAGGCUGUUAAAACAAUAUACUGAACCACACAUCCCAAAUGUGCAGUGCCACCAGGAUUACACAUUUUUACACUGGAGAAGACAGAGCAAGUACCUCACUACAGUAAACAAAAACUACAGAGAAAGGCAAGGGUCAUACAAAACUAUUCAUUAUGGUAAAAUGUAUAGGAAUCAAAUGUAACCAAGGGCAUCAGAGAAACAUGACUGCAACAUUACACACAAAGUGUCUCAGACGACCGUCGUGAGAAUUGCACAUGGUUUUUCAUCAUAUGCCCCAUCCAAGAUCAAAUGUGCCUUUACAACUAACAUACAACCAGCAGCCACAAAAUAUAAAGAAAACUGAGCACAAACUGGAACAAUAUAUUGCAAACCCAUAACUAUCAUAGGAAAUGCUGGAAUGCCACAAGUCUAAGGAACAGAAGACAUCUACAUAUACAAAGAAAACGUAGGAACUGCUCAGACCCGCAAUUACCAACUCUCUAUAUGCGAGCAUUUUAUGAUACAACUGAAAUUGAUGCACAUUUGAGGGAUCAGGAGCAUAUAAACGUACCUGAUGUGGCGCUGCCUGAUCAGGACACGAGCAUGGUGGAUGGACUUGGCCAUGCCAUUCUUGAAGACAAUGGUCUGGAGGCGGCGCUGGAGGAAGUUCUCAACAGUAAGGGCAAGCACGUAAUCGAGCUUGUUCUGUCCCUCACCAAGGAGACCAUAUCGGUUCAUGCGGCGGAGGAGCGCCUCACCCUCAAAGAUACGGCGUGGGUUCUUCUCAUCCAGAGUGAGAAGCUCCCUGGCUGCAUUUCUGAUACGGCUCAGGGCAUACUGCACGCGCCACAGCUCACGCUUGCAGCGCAGGCCAUACUCACCAACCAGCUUCAGCUCAGCAUCUAGUCGCUCCUUCUCAUACGGACGCCUUGGCUUCUUGAAAGUCUUCCCAUCUGCAACAUGCAACAACAUCAUAAGCUACUGAUUGCACUACAAAAAUUAGCUUUGGGAAAUAACUGAGAGGGGUAUCUGUAACAACUAAACUGUCACAAUCAGUUACUUCCUAGUAUUGAUAACGCAGCUAGAGCCUAUACUAGAUGGUGCUAACCGUUUGACUGGUUGAGCAACAACAAAAAUUGCAAGAAUACUUUAAGGACAUUGUCUGAUACUAUUUGAUUUUAAGGAGUACUAAGCCAGUACAAAGCUUGGCGUUUAGAAUUAUGAUCCAGCACCAUUUCACCCUGAUAUACAGAUUUCAACCUACAUGCAUAUCCGCGCAAUCAGCUCACCUUAAGGGCAAUCCACCAAACUUUAGACUUGACGGAUCAAAGCAAAGCCGAAAGGUAUUGUUCGACCAUCCGAAUUGCUACUAUUAAGUGUAUCCCAAAGGAAAAUUCAUCACUCUAUAUACUGCAUUCCCAACACUACUGGUGGAACAAUCUAGAGAACCGCAAGGAACUAACAGCACGAGCUGGAUCGACCUAGAUAUCUACUGUACGUCUAUGGAAGUCACAAGGCAACAUGCAUACAAUGCAGUAGAAGAGGGGGAUCUUACAGUUGCGGUAGAAGCUAACAUGCACCAUGGCUGCCGCGGCAGGGUGGCGCGGUUGGUCGUCGGGUUGCCGCCGCCGGAGGAAGUGCGAGGGACGGAGGCGUGGAUGGAAGACGAGAUCUUAUAAGGGAUGUAAACCCUAGCUUUGAUUAGAUGGGCCGGAUUUCAAUAAAUUCUGUCUGUUCACUUAUUUAGGUGUCAUCGGCCCGGUCUGUGUUGCUAUGGGCUUUUUUCGCUAGAUGGGCACCCCGAACGCGGCUCACAGCCCACUUUUUUUUUUUUUUUGCGCUGGCGACACGCGCACGCGCGCCUGCCGCCUGCCGAACAGUCGACGUCUCCUCGACGAACUCAUGCGACCGAGCCGGCGAGCCCGACGUCGUGCCCUCCCGCCCGCCCAACCCAACCGAGAGCGAUGCCGCCGCGGAAGCCACUGACGGCGCUGCUGAAGUCGGCGACGCGGCCGGGGCACCUGCUCCAGCUCCACGCCCUGAUGCUGAAAUGCUCCCACUUCCCGCACCACGCGUUCCCCACAGCCAGGCUCCUCGCCUCCCCGCUCGCGCCGCUCCCCUACGCGCUCUCCCUCUUCGCCGCCGUCCCGCGGCCCACGCUUUUCCACCACACCGCUGUUCUCCGCGCGCUUUCCUCGUGCCCCUCCGUGGCCUCCCUUUCCGCGUCCCUCUCGGUCCUUGCCUCCGCGCGGGCGCGCCUCCCCGAGCUCGACGAGUUCGCGUUCCAGCCGCUGCUCGCGCUCUGCGCGAAAAUGCCCAGUGACGCCGAGGCAGCUUCGGUUGGCAAGCAGGUGCACGCGCUCGUGCUGCGGUACGGGUUCCUGGACGUUGUGAGCCUGCGGAAUGUGCUGUGCCACUUUUACUGCAGCAGUGGGAACAUGGCGGACUCGCGGAGGAUGUUCGAGGAAAUGCCUGAGAAGGACGCUGUGUCGUGGAACACGGUGAUUGGGGGCUAUGUCAGGGUGCGGGAUGUGGGCACAGCUUUGCAGAUGUUCACUGCGAUGAGGUGGUCUGGAGUGGAUGCCAACGUGACAGCGAUGAUCACCUUGAUUGGGUGUGGCUGGCAAGGGGAGUCAGUGCAUGGCUUAUGUGUUAAGACAGGGCUCUGUGACGAUGUGAAGAUUGCAGCAGCAAUGGUGGGGAUGUAUGUGAGGGAGGGCAGCGUUGAGUGUGCAAACAAGGUGUUUCAUGAGACCACUAGACGAGACUUGGUGCUGUGUAAUUGUAUGGUGGAUGGCUAUGCAAAGGCAGGGCAGAUUCGGGAGGCGAUAGACUUGAUUGAUGGAAUGAGACAGCACGGGAUGAGACCUAGUUCAGGGACGCUUGUGGGUGUUCUCUCUGCGUGUGGAACAUCUGGGGCAUUGGCAGCCGGUCGUUCUGUCCAUGAGCUUGCUGAAGAUGCACGGCUUGAGAUUGACAGCACGCUUGGGACAGCGCUCAUGGACAUGUACUUCAAGUGUGGGUGCCCCAGCGAGGCAGCUGCGGUCUUCGAUGCAAUACGAGAUAGGGACGUGAAGGCAUGGACAGCGAUGAUCAUGGGAUUCGGAGUUAAUGGGCAGCCAGGCUCUGCCAUCACCUUGUUCUACAGGAUGGAGGAAGACUGUGUGUUUCCUAAUGGCGUCACAUUCCUAGCCCUGCUAACUGCUUGUAACCAUGGCGGGUUGGUGCAGGAAGCGAAAGAAUUCCUUGAGACAAUGGCACGGCGAUACAGAUUGUCUCCAAGCCCUGAGCACUACAGCUGCGUCAUUGAUCUCCUGGGAAGAGCAGGGCGCCUAUACGAAGCCUAUGAGCUCAUAGAAAGCGUGUCAUCCCAGGGUGAUGCUACUGCAUGGAGAGCGUUGCUUGCCGCCUGCAGAGUGUAUGGCAAUGUGAAGCUGGGGAGGAUGGUGCAGGAACAGUUGGACGCCAUUGGCCACUACCAUCCUUCAGAUGCCAUUCUGCUGUCAAACGCAUACGCAUUGGAAGGCCGGUGGGAUGAGAUAGCUCAGCUGAGGGAUUCAGAAGCACAGAAAAUAUCUGUGGAGAAGGAAACAGGCUGCAGCUCCAUUAUUGUGUCUUGCUGAUGUAUUCAGACUUGCUGAAUUUAAGCAACUAACAACUGAACUCAAGGUGGGAUUCCCAGGCAGACUAGCUUUUGAUCGGGGUUAUCCAAACUUGUACAGAACUAAAUAUAAAUAGAAGAGUGAUUAAAAUGUUUUCUAGAAUCAGGUAAACUUUGAACUCCUGCUUGGUUCAACUUGUAUAUGUAGCCAAUGGCGUCCAACUGUGCCUGCAACCUGCAGAUUGACAACUAGUAGUAAGAAAAGAGACCGAAGGUUGGAAAUAGAUAAAGGGUGAGAUAGAAUGUCCAUAAGGAUUGUGUACCCAAAGCCUGUUUAGGAUAAACAGACAACAAAGUUGUUCAGUAGCUGAUAUGUAUUAGGAAGAGUGGAACUUGGAGUUUAUGAAAAAGCUUGGAGAUGAAGAUGUAGAGGAAUGGGAGAAACUAAUGGCGUCUUUGGAAAUGUGGAGGUGACUAGUGAGGAGAAUAGCUUGGGUUAUAUGGAAGCUUGAAUCCUCUGGCAAGUUCUCCAUAAAAUCUCUCUAUAUAUGUUGAUGACCUUGGAGUGGUGGUUGAUCAAAAAAUGAAAGACAUUUGGGACACUAGGUUACCUCUGAAAAUAAUUUUUUUGUGUGGAUGAUUUGGCACAACAGUGGAACUGGUGAGCAAUUGAAGAGGAGAAAGUGGAAAGGUAGCUAUCUUCCUCUUUAUUCCCACAAAACAAAAUACGAAUAUUUUUGGCAUGUAGGUCGAUUUAGUUCUACCAUUAGUUGAACUUAAACAUCUUAUCGGGUUUAUAAAUAAUUGAACUUGAAAAUGUAAUAAGGAGCAACGAGUUUCUUGCGAGCUAGUACAAGAGAUGAGGAAGACGAAUAACGAUGACAAGGCGUGGUCAAAGUGACUCUCACUGCUUUGCCCUAUUGUUGGAUAGAUUGCAUUGUGUCCAAGUGAGGUCGUUGGUGUCAAUGAUGAGUGUGUACGAACGCAGAAAUUUUAUCCUUAAGGACAUAUGUCCAACACAAACACUUUGCUAAGGGCACAUGCCCCAUAUGCAUCAUUGGUAAGCGCAAAGCACAUCUGGGGCAUGUUUGGUUUUCCAUGACUAAAAUUUAGGCCUUGUUUAGUUCCCAAAAAAUUUCAAGAUUCCCCGUCACAUCGAAUCUUACAGCAUAUACAUGGAGUAUUAAAUUUAGACGAAAACAAAAACUAAUUACACAGUUUACCUGUAAACCGCGAGAUGAAUCUUUUAACGCUAAUUAGUCUAUGAUUGGACAAUAUUUGCCACAAACAAACGAAAGUGCUACAGUUCCCAAAAUGUAAAAUUUUUGCCAACUAAACAAGGCCUUAAUUAUUAAAAUCAAUGACUAAACUUUAGUCACCCCUAUUUCGUUCUAGUGACUAAAAUUUACUUAAGGCCAAGAAAGCGGUUCAACAAAGACCAAACUAUGGUGGGGGACUAGCAAUAAUGAGGGGCAACCCCUGUCCACUUGGCACUUUAGCCCACUUUAGUCAUUCCUGAGGUACUAAUAUGACUAAACUACUUUAGUCCCAUUUUAGUCAAUUUGUUUGGCAGUUUAGUAGCUAAAGUAAGGGGAAAACCAAAUAGGCCCCUUUAGGGACUUGAACUUUAGCUCACGAGGUAGGCGAUGGUAGACCUGGAGUCCACAAUGGUGCCACCUACGACAUCUUUCACCUUAAAAGUAGACAUCAACAUGGCUUCUAGUUUCAGGAGAUAGGCUGACUAGUGCGACGUCGUAGAAAUAUGUCCUCCCUAUUACUAGGUUCCUCAAGACACAUUUUGGAUUGGUCCUUUGGUCUUGUACCUCUGCAAAUCUGUCAUUGCACCGAAGAAGAGGGGCUGCUCUUGUUUUAUGUGGUCUUGUACCUUUGUAGAUCCAUUAUUGCACAGAAGAAGACGGGGCUACUCUUGUGGUCCGCGUAACGCAUAAGACAAUACGAGAAUUUCGGUAUCGCCAACAACGACACCAUGGAUAGAACCACUAGACUCAGCCCCAUGAUGUCGAAGGCACCAAGAAUGUUGCCAUCGGUGAGCGCGCUGCAGCCGAAGCUCACGGAGACCUGCUUUUCCUGGUCGGCAAAAGUGAAUGCUUUAGAGGUGAGGACUUGAUCGCCUCCACGUGACAUAUCUAUACGUGUUGUUGGAGUAACUUUUGGUGUUACAGUUAUCCUCUGUGUAGCCCGCUGCUAAGGGAUGUGGGCAAAAGACAAUGACUUGAUGGGUUAAAAUGAGGCUCUCACCGCACGGGAGAACCGUGAAUGGCGAGGACUAAGUAGGGAUAAAAAGAGGCUCUCGCUUCCUUGCCAUGUUAUUGAACAACUUUCAUUGCGUCCAGGUGAGAUCUUCAGUGUUGACGAUGAGUAAUAAAAAGAAUUCCAUCAAGGGCAUAUGCCCCCAUGUGGAUCACUACAUGAAAAUGUUGCUGAGGCACAUGGCCCCACAUGCAUCGCCAGUAAGGACCAAAACAACAUUACUAGCGAUUGCGAUGGCUUCUCUAAGACUGUUUCCAACACAAGAUACACACCCCGCCCUGUUUUUUUAAAUGCUCAUAAUUAUUCCCUCAUUCAAAAAAGCACGAAAGAUGCUCACACAAAUAGCACAUAAGACAUUUUAUUUUAGAUAGUAAGGAUGAAGUUUCUAAAACAUAACUUUUGAUCAUUUUUUUUAUUUUAUUAUUAUAUCUUCAACUAGUAGCAAAGCUCUAAAAGUAUAGUACUGCCUUUGUCCAGAAAAGAAUACAAUUCAAUACUUUUUUUUUGAAGUGUCUUAAAGUUUAACCAAAUCUACAAGUAAAAAUAUUAAUGUUUUUAUGCCAAAUAAGUAUAUUAGUAUAAAUAUAUAUCUCUAACGUACUUAUUUUAUAUCGUAAAUAUUGAAUGUUUUUUAUAUAUAUAGUUAGUUAAGCUUAAGAUACUUUGACUUAAUAUAGUUAGAAUCGGGUAUGCCAAAUAAGUAUUCCCUCUGUCAAAAAAACAAACAUGCAACUACAGGUUGCGUGCUAACAAAAGUAGCUUACUUUUGACUAAAUUUUUAGUGCAUACUAUUCACAUUUACAACUCCAAAUUAAUUUACCAAGAAAAUAUUACAACUCCAAAUUAAUUUACCAAGAAAAUAUAUUUCGUAAGGAAUCAAUUAAAUUUUUAGUUAAUGCUAUUCACAUUUAUCACUCCAAAUUAAUUUAUCAAGAAAUAUAUUUCGUAAGGUAUUUAGGGGAUGUGUGGGACUGCUCUUCACUCCACGUUUUUAGCCAAACGGUGCGUAGCCAAACAGUUUUAGCUCAACGCAUUCAGUUCGAGGAAAAAUGGCAGAGUUGUGUACUCCAUGAACUCUAGUUUUUUAUAGAGCUGCUCCACUAUGGAGUACGUGGAGGAGAGUUUGUGAAGUAGUACCAAACACACCCUUAUUUGAUAUCAUAAAUAUUGAUAUUCUUUUAUCUAUAACUAAUCAAACUUGAGAAACUAAACCAUGAUACUGUGCUAGAAUUACAUGUUUUUUUGUUCGGAGAGAAUAUAUUAGUACCGUACAAGUACUACAGAUAAACUUCAAAGUGAACGAACAAAGAUAGAUUGCUCCCAUCGAACUGUUGAAGAUUUAAGUUCAGGUAAAGGUAAUACAGGGUGGAAUGAUAUUUACACAUGGAGGCACAUAGCCGCAUAGGUUUUAAGGUUUCUUUAGCACAUCAGCUAUAACGGAAACAUUAAACUUGAAACUACGAAAACUUUUCAAGCUGUGAACCAGAUCUCGUUUUCUAAUUGAGCUGUUAGCGGUUGCCGACCCCGCCUUCCUCUCUGCUACUAGUAGUGCCGCUGCUGCAUUGCUCAUCUUCCAUUCUUGGAAGGACUGGAUAUACAUGUACAGGCAAAGUUGUCACUACUGGUGGGUAUCUUGCCUGGGGCCGCAUCACAUUAUUAGAGAUCCCCUGGUUUUGUGGUGGCUCAGUAUCUUCAGUAGGUGCAGCUUCAGGGAAUAGCUGUAGCUCCCGCCGUGGGGCAGCAUAAGAUUGCUCAACGACUGCUGGCUGUUGCAGAGGAAGUGCCAUUGUUGCAAUGACUUGUGGAUGUGCUGAAUGUUGCAAUGUAAAUACUGUGGUCGCAGGAUGAGGUGCUGUAAUAUUUGAUCUAGAAGUGUCAUGACUCCAGAUAGGGUUGCCUUCUAGCCGCAUCCUCAGCUCAUUUUGAAGUUCUGAGAUUUCACCACGGAUCACAUUGGUUUCAUCCAGUAGUUCAUUUCUCUCCAAGGCAACCUGUUUUGAAAAAUGAAGGAAGCACAUAUUGAAUUACUGACUAGGAUAUAGCAAAUCUUUUCAAGUGGUACUAUAAGACUUAUUUGCUAAUACUUGCAAAAUAUUUUCUUAGGACAAAAAUUUACUACCCACAGAGUUUUCUCGUUCAUAAAUUACUACCUACAGUCUACAGAACAUCAAAUUAAUCAAAUUCAAGGACAAUUUAAUUAAAAUUCCCCAAGUCAUGAUAUGGUCGGUUUUCAGAAAUGGGAGGAGCACACUUACAUAAUGAGAUUCAUUCUUCAGCGUAUUGUUCUCCUUUCGAAGAGAUUCUACUUGUGAAAGUAGAUCUUUAAGUAUCCGUGUAGUGUCACUUAAUAUGCAUGCCUUCCCAUUGUUCUGCCUAUCAGGUUCUGAAAAGAGAUGACAUUGCUUAGGAAAAAUAUAAAUGUAACUUUGAGCAAAAGUAGAGUUGAGGCAAAUAAUCAAUAACCAUGUAUGCAUGGAGCACUUGUUGCAAGAUGUCUGUAUAACAAUGUCAAGUGUGUGUUCAAUAUUAUUCCACAUAACUACAUAAACAUGCUAAACUCUUAAAGUUAGGACAUGGAAAUCCAAAACUAAAUAGAAUCAACAAACAGCAGGCACACAGGUGAUUCGCAAACUACAUUGACCUGGACAAAAUGAUAUGGAAUUAACAGUAUGGCACUCUAUAAAACAAAACACAAUGGAUUCUUCGAGUUAAGAAAGAAACACACUAAUGCUGUCCAGCCAUAGAUCAUGUAAGUAGGUUAAAUUUGUAACAGACCACAUACUAUACCUAGCAUGUUUCCCAGCUCGCCAAAGAGAUCAUUCUGCUUGUCGCGCUUACGCUUCUCCCUCUCAGAUUUAUGUACUUUCUUUGGAGCCUUCUUUUCGCACUUGUUGUUCAGGAUAGGCCUGUCAGGUAUUCAGCAUCAGCAUAAAUCGUGUCAUGCACUUGUAGUAGAAAAGCUUGAUAAUUCACUAGUCAAUUAUUCAGUGACAAACAUCCACAUUUGCUUACACCAGUUUUGCAGAUACAGGGUGCAAAUCAUACAGAGCCAAGUGGUUCAUAUAAAAUUUUUCCCUCCAACAGCUAUAGACCAUUUUGUAUUAAAUAGAGCUUUAGACCGAUUCGUUAGACAUGAUUCUAAACUACGCUAGCGGACAUGGACAAGAAACACUACUGAUCAUAAAAGAGUAGGUGUACAGAUUGCUGUGUAGCUAGUGCUCUUCCCUUACAAAGCCCAAAGACCAACGGCGAUCAAACGCGAAAGAAAAACAACAGAUGUGUCUGCUGUUUUUAGUUUUUCCUUGACUAUUCACGAGUCGCGACCGAAGACUCACCCUUGAACGAGGUUCUCCGCCGGGGCCGCGGUGGCAGUUGUGGCGCUAUGCGCCCUGUCCCUGGGCACCAUGAGUGAUCAAGGGACCUGAUCCGAUACCUCUCCUGCAACAACAAAUCAAGAGCUCCGCGUCAGUUCCCAACACCCUAACCACAAAGCAGCCACGCGUUCGUCAUCGACGCCGAGGGCGAAGAAAAAAAAGAGAGAGAGCAAGGACUAGGGUAGAACGACCCUCACCUUCCCAAAACAACCACGAAUCGAGGCCAGGAUGAGAGAGAAGCUACGCGGUGCGGCCAGAUUUGACCUGGCUCGGUUCAGCUCUGCCCUUGUCUUCGAUUGCUGGGGAGGACCGAGGACGAGGAUGGAUAGGCAGGGAGGAGGAGGAGGAGGAGAGGGAGAAGAAAGGGGACGAGGGCGGGUCCCACGGCGGGGCAGGAAGAAGAACCGGAGCGGAGGGAGGAGCUGCGAUCCCUGUCUCGCUGAUCCCUGGGGCCAGGGCGUGGCGUGGCCCGCGUGACGGAGGAAAGGGUAGUUGCCAGGUCCGGUGGGCUAGACGGCGACACGCGCGGGGCGUGUGGGAGGCACCCACCGCUGCUCCGCCCUGGCGCGUUCUCCGGAUGGGAUGGGAUGACCAUGACAUCGCCACCACGCCACCGCCACCACCAGCGCCCUACAUGUGCCAAUGCCGCACGCCGCACCGCCCUUCUUUCCAGGCCCAAAGAAAUGGUUACAUUAUCACCCAAGUACUCCCUCUAUCUCAGGGCUUAGUUUGGUUCCCCUUGCUAAAUUUUAGCUAUCUAAAAUUAUUUUAGCUAUUCUUGGGUGACUAAUGGAGCUAAACUAUUUUAGCUCUUUUUAGUCAAUAUGUUUGGAACUUUAGCUACUAAAGUGACUAAAGUUUAUCUAGCUAAAAUUUAGUUGGUGGAACCAAACAGGACCUCAGUUUAUAAGUUAUUUUAAAAAUUUUGAAAAUUAAAGUAUCUCAAAUUCGAUCAAUAUUAUAGAAAAAAUAGAAAGGUUUAUGACAUCAAGUAGAUAUUAUGAUGAAAAUAUAACUAAUGAGGAACCUAAUAAUACUUAGAUGGUAUCAUAAAUAUUAUUAUGCUAUCAUAUAAAUUUGGUAAAACUUGAAAUGUUUUGACUAUCUAAGAUUUUUGAAAUGACUUAUAAUUUGGGAUGGAGUGAGUAGUGUUUUUCUGCUAAUAUAUACUCACCGUGCCAGUGCUAGUAAUAUACUUUGUUUUAAACAAUUCGCAGAAUAUACGCACACGCACCGUGCAAGUAACGGCGCAUUUUAGUCAUGGCAACCUCGAGAUAAAUUUCAGCCAUGCAUGCUCACGUUACGUUCAGAAGAAUUCGAGCAGUCAACAAUAGAAACAAACUACCCAUGUAACCCAUCCGUCUCAGGUCACGGCACCGUUUUGGCGUUUUCCGCGGGGUUGGUGAAGUGUAGUGUAGCAAAAGAGCUGAAGGGAAGGGAUCAAGGGAUCGCAUCGGGCGGGGAGGUGGGUACUGGGUAGUGCGGGGCGCGUGGCAGGCACACGCGCCCAGGCGGCGCCGCUGGCCCCGGACGUAGUUUGCCCAGCAUCCACAGGAUUAAAGAUGGCAACGGGGACCCUAUCCCCGUUUCUCCGCGGAGAAUUCUUCCAUUAGAGGAUGGGGAUGGAGAAGAUUUGAUCCCCACGGAGAUAAAACUGGUAGAAUAGUUGUCCCCGUCGGGGAUGGCGGGGACGGGGAUGGUUCCCAGGUCCCCGACCCCGAUCCCCGCAUCCCCGCCCCGUGAAGAGCCAUCGAGGGUGCCAGACCCAUGUAAAGAGGCCCAUUAUCACCGAAAUAUAUAUAUAUGCGCUGCUAACUGCUAACCCUAAAUCCCAGCCCCCACCCGGCCACUCCCCACCCCCGCAGCCGCAGCGCAGUCCAAUACUCCACACGAGAGUCUCCAAUCCAUUCCCCAUCCCCAGCGAAGUGAGUGGCAGCGGCGCCGGCGCGACGGCUCUACGGCUGUGCGAGUCGCGCUCAUCCCCGUUCCCCAGCCCGAGUGCUUGAGCUCGAGACUGCUCGACCGGUCGACCCCCAGCGACGUCGGCGCGACCGCUUGCCUCUACGAACCGGAGCCCGAGGCACAUCCUCCUGCCGGUGCAGAACGGCAGCAGCUCGAAGUGCUGCCCCCUGAAGUCGACGAUGCGGCGGCGGUGCCGCCCAAGAACCUCUCCGGCACGAACUCCUUGGCGCGCUCCUAUGCCGCGGGGUCCUGGCCGAUGGCCCAGGCGUUGACCAGCACGUGCAUGCGCGCCGGGACGUGGAACCCCAGGAUCUCGGUGUCCGCCGCCGGCUCCCGGGGCACCAGCAGCGGCAGCGGCGCGUGCAGCCGGAGCGUCUCCUUCACCACGGCCUUUAGGUAGUCCAGCUGCGCGAUGUGGUCCUCGUUGACGCUGGUGGAGCCGGCCGCUGCCGCGCGGACCUCGUUCUGCGCUCUCUGCAUGGCGCGCGGGUGCGUGACGAGCUCCGCCAUGGCCCAUUCCAUCGCCGUGGUGGUCGUGUCCGUGACUGCCGCGAACAUAUCUUUUAGGAAUUUUGAACCUUGCUACUAGAUUUAUAUGUCUAGAUGAAUAUGUGAACCUUGUAUGCGGGGAUGGGAUCCCCGUCGGGGAUCGGGGAUGGUGCCAGAGUGCUCCCCGUGGUUGUUCACGGGGACGGGGAUGGGAAAAAUUCCCCUCUGCGGGGACGGGGAUGGUGGCUUAUUCUCCGACGGGGAAUUCCCCGUUGCCAUCUUUACACAGGAUUGCUCGUGCCCCGCGGCUCUCGGCCGCGUGCCGCUCUGCCCCUUCGCCCGCGCCUGCGGACUCGACUCGAGGGCUCUGGGGUCUCCGGGCUCCAGACAGAAACGCCCACACGGCCACACGACCACGCACGACACCAAGAGCCAUGUUUUUCCAUGCCCAGCGGCCAGCGCAUCACGAACGAACACGACGAGCUCGCGAUUACGAAAUAUACUCUACUAAAAAGUACCGCAACUUGGACUAAAGGACAAGGCCUGCAUUAGGUUAAGCGCAACGGACGUCAGAAGCACUUUCACUCGUACUUUUCAAUCUGGGUGACUCAGUUCCUUGACGAUUUGAUCACUUGAAGAGAUAUUUUCGGUAUUAUCUCGUAUUUUUUAGAACCAUGAGUCCAGAUGCCCACGCGGACAGUUGACACUGGCUACGCCUAACGCCAGAGCGUCAGGGUGUAGCUGGCACCAAUUGGACUGACGGCACCAAGGACUCAAGGAGACUACAGAUGAAAUGACAAACCAACGAGUCAUUCAAGAAUCAACACAUUUCACAUGUAAUACUAGAAUAUGAACAUGCCAUUUACACCAGGGUGUUGCCCAGGAGCAUUUUUCAUGAAUAAGUUAUGUCACAAAGAUAAAUAAAAACAAGGAACAAAGGCGUCUGAUUUUUCCCCCUUUUUUGCGGUUCAUAAGCAACAUCGAUCAGGAUAAAGCAUAGACCAUUUUCAGUCCCAGCAAUUCCAUUUGUUGCGAAUAGGGCUCAGGUUUAUCUAGUUGGCUGCAGAAGGUACUUCUGCCGGCUUCUUAAAGUUAAGUUGAGCUUGCCUCCUAGGCUUGGCAGGGUCUGGAAACAGAAGGAAACUAAUCUCGUCAGACAUGAGGUUGGAUUGAGAAAAAAAUAAUAAAUAGCCCUUUUUUUAGGGAAAAUAAUAAUUAGUCGGGAUGCAGAACAGGGCAAACCACAAACCUGUUUUGGUUUUCUUGUUCGAGGAGAGAACAGAUGACUUCCAAUCAUUGUAUGCUUCUUUCUCCAUCUUCUUGCGCCUCUUGUGAGUUGGUAACUGACAUCAGAACAAGCAGACAGCAGUCAGGCAGUCACCCGAAAGAAUACAGGUAAAAAGCUAGCUCAAAUGGUUCGCAAAAAAUUUCAAGAUUCUCCGUCACAUCGAAUCUUUGGUCGUAUGCAUGGAGCAUUAAAUAUAGAUAAAAAUAAAAACUAAUUGCACAGUUUACUUGUAAUUUGUGAGAUGAAUCUUUUGAGCCUAGUUACUUCUUGUUUGGACAAUGUUUGUCAAAUAAAAACGAAAGUACUACAGUAGCCAAAAAUGAAAAUUUUUGCGAACUAAACAAGGUAUAGACAUUGCAGAAGUAACCUGAACGGGAAAAAUGUGUGGAUGCAGGCAUGCAGCAAGACCAUGUUUUAGCACAUCACGGCACAGAAGAAAGGAUUAGAUCAUUGGAUGCAGCUACUAUUGCUCACUGUUAGAUAGUAAUAAGAACCAUCAAAAUUGCACUGCUGCAGAAGAAAUGACUUCUUUCAGUACUGACUUUUAUGUGUCUUUUAGUUCAUUCAGACUUCAGCCAUCUAGCAUGUACAUAGACUAUAUUUGAUAACAUUCAAUUCAACCACGGGGAUACUGAUUGAUUACUCAAAAAACUUAGUUGAUUAAGAUAUUGACUGAUUACUCAUAAAAUUUAGUUCAUUAAACCAGGAUUAUAUAUACUCCUGGUAAUAAAGGAUGUGGACAGGGUUUCAUGCAGGUGAAAGCCAUAUACAAGAAACUGAACUACUAGCAACUUUUACGAUGCAGGAAAAUUUCAAACAGGAAUAAAAAUUAAAUAUAAAACCAUUUUUCAUAGGGAAAAGCAUAUCAGAGUAGUUGUGUUCCAUGACAUGCAAUUCAAAAUGUAAAUUAAACUCAGUACUUACUAAGAUAUUUAUUAGAUGCAAUUCAAAAAAAAGUGAGAUCAGUAAUCCAAAAGCAACCAGAAGUAUUCAGGUACAUACAUCUAGUUCAUCUUGAUCGUCGUCUGACGAUUCAUCAGAUCCAGAUGAAUCACUGUCAUCUUCAUGUUUCCUUUUGCUUGGCAAAACAUCCAGCAAUUCUGCAACAAGGACAAAACAUAGGAGUUCAAUGGAUAGUUAGCAACACAAAUUUUUAUUUGUAGAAUGUAUUUUUGCUAUGUAAGUGGAUGAGUAACUCUAUGAUGUAAGGAAUGGAUCAACAAUAAGUAUGUAGGUACCUCUGUUCCCUUUGAUGGACUUUGGAUCCUUCUUCUCCUUGGCUAUCCCAAAAACAUCAAAGCAGAGAUCUGUCAUUGAUGUUGAAACCUGAAAUCAGAACUGAAAGUAAGAAAAUAGCAUAUGUACAGUAAACAAUUCAAGUGAGCACACAGCACAAGUGCACAGUGCAGCUAUGCGCAAACAUACAAAGAGGAUAUGAAUAAACUGUACCGUUGUAAACUCGGAGCUGGAUGUGCCACAUAGAUCUAUCAGCUUUAGUUUGUCAACCUUGAGCUACAAGAAAGAAAAAGGAAAGCUUGAGCACUAAAGAAUCCUAUGCAUUGCAGAAGAACAAAGUACACUGUUACUGAAACAGGCAAGCACCUUGUGCCUCUUCGCACAUAAGUAGAAUGCUGCUGCAGUAAACACUGGUCGACCAAAGUCAGUGCUUGCCCGGCGUGAAGGUGGCAAUGCAGCAAGGAAGCGCUCCUUAUAGCUGAAAUGUUGAAAUCUACCCUCAAUAUAACAUUGAAACAUCAGGUUGCAACUUGCAAACUUGAGCAUGCUUUCAAUGAACCUCAUAGUGACAUAGUCUACAAUUCAUGGUCCCGAGAUACAAUUCAUGGUCUCGAGAUAAAAUUCACAAUAAUAGGCCCUCAAAUAUUGAUGCAAGUGCAAUCGGACUGCCAUGAGAGAAGACUUACAGUGACAAACCCUUCUGAACAAAAGGUAUCAGCCUGACACAACCAAACUGGAUGCCCAAUUCACGCACAUCCAAAGUCGUCCUACAAGACCAUAUUUCACCUAAAUAAUCACAAGGUAGGAAUUUGAUACUCUGAACGGGCGAAACAGAAAGGAAAAAGAAGCAUACUUGACACCAAGACCAUUUUGGAGCGCAUUGAAUGAUCUGAUGUACGCCUUCUCAGACAUCCCGCUCAUACGCACAGCCUCCGCCCGGUCAAAUAUCACCUGUAACCUGCUCAAUCAGCAAACGAAAUGACACGGGUCAAUAUAGGGCCUAGAAGGUUCCCUGCACGGGCAAUUCAUCGAACAGUUGACCAGCAAACCCGGACUCACUUGGACGCUGCGAUCUCCAGGCAGAUGAUGGCUUUGCAGACCUCGCCCUGCAAAAGCACACAGGUCUCAGGUCAGAGGCACGUCCGCGCGGCGGAAGAAGAACGGGAAAUCGGGGAAGAGGGUGGGCAGUCCGGGCCGCUUACGAUGCCGAGGACAGAGGAGUUGAAGUUGACGUCGCAGAGGCGGCGGAGCUCGCCGGCCUUGCGGAUGACGGGGCGGGACCCCGAGAGGCCGAGGCGCGCGGCGAUCGCCGACAUGUCCAUGACCGCCGGCGCGUCAGAGGGGCGCGGAUCGGUGCUGGGAAUGGGGACGGGGAGAAAGAGGUGGAUUGGGGCAUUUUGGCGCGGACAAAUAGUGGCGAUUUGGGCGGUUUCGGGAUCGUUUUGGCGGGCGAGGAAAUGGCGGGAGGAGGGAAUCGUAUUGUUUCGCGCCUAGCAUGUCGUGCGGUCUCUAUUUUUCCUCUGCAGAGGAGGGUGGGGUUGCGUGAUGUGAUGGGCUGAAGUGCUGAACUGCUGAACCAUUGGGCCCUGCUUUGUUCUUAUCAGGGCCUUGUUUAGUUCCAAAAAAUUUUGCAAAAUUUUUCAGAUUUCCAUCACAUCGAAUCUUUAGAUGCAUGCAUGGAGUAUUAAAUAUAGAUGAAAAUAAAAACUAAUUAUACAGUUUAGUCGAAAUUGACGAGACGAAUCUUUUGAGCCUAGUUAGUCUAUAAUUGGACAAUUUUUGUCAAAUACAAACGAAAAUGCAACAUUAUCGAUUUUGCAAUAUUUUUUGGAACUAAACAAGCCCCAGAGCAUUGUAUAGUUCAUACUAGUUUAUUUUUUUCUAGGUGAUUAUUAUUUAUAUAUAGUUCAAAGUUGUCCUAAAAAAAGUUCAAACAUGAAUUGAAUCGGUAAAAAAAAGGUAGAAUGAAAAAUAAAUCUUCUCUACAGCGAUUCUUAUAACACAAUCCCUCCAGUUCACUAAAGCAAGUCGUUUUGAACGCCUACACCGCUACACGGUCUAUAAGAAACGACUUGGACCCCUGUUUAUUUCUAUAAGAUAUUUAUAAAAAAUACGGUCAAUAUAUAUUUUUAUGCAACUAUAUUUUGAGAUGAAUCUACUUACAUCACUUUUAUAUUUCCAAAAUCAAUCCAAAAUACUCCAUCCAUACUUAAAAAUGAAGUCAUUUUGAACAACGACACAGUCUUCAAAAUAUAACUUUGACUUUUUAUUCUUCUAAAAAUAUUUAUCAAAAAAGUGAUCUAUUUAUAUAUUUAUGAAAGUAUUUUUAACACAAAUCUAUUCAUAUAGUUUUUGUAUUUCCAAACUGAAUAACUUAAAAGUUAUUCAUAAUUUAUAUUCUCAAUAUUUUGAUCCAAACCUUGUCUAAAACGAAUUUAUUUUCUAUUAUGGAAGGAAUAAUUUAUUAUAGCUAAAGUUUAAAAUGUUUGACUUAAAAUAACCUCAAAACAAACUUGUUUUAGGAACCAGGAGAGUAUAGAGUUGGGUUUUUGGCUAUUCAUUGAUACGUGGGAACAAAUAUGGUGUGGUUUUAACUUUUCACUAUUACUUAUAUAAGGUCUUGUUUAAUUUGUGGAAAGAAAAGUUUUUGGAUACUGUAACACAUUUGUAGCUAUAGUAAUUAGUCUCCAGUCAUGAACUAAUUAGGGUUAAAAGACUUGUCUCUUAAAACUACCACUUUUUGAUAAAUAAUUUUUGUAAAAAAAGAGAGUCAAAGUUAGGCUUUGAAGACGAUGUUGCUGUCUUAAACGACUUUCUUUGUAAGUACGUAGAGAAUACUUUGUUAUUUGGAUUAUUGGUCACUUCAAUGUUAGACUAAUUUUUAAUGAUUUUAGAAAUUCACACAAUCAUGUCAUGCCUUUCAAGGGACGAGGUGCAUGGUUAGUUUAAAAUUAGGGCAUGCCACACACAUCACGGUUAAGUUUAGUGAAACUGCAUAUAGCUUGUUGAUACUACUACUAUGUAUCUUCAUUUUUUGGAUUGAUGCGUCCACACCACUCUUAGAUUUUAGAAUGAUUUGCCAACAUAUCGAGAAAUUUAAACAAUUGGACUGUGUUUCAAGAGUCGCGUGUUUCAAGUGUGUGCACAUACGAGACGAGAGGUCACGUUGCCUUCGCAGAAAUGCACAUAUCGUCUACGAAAAACGUAUUUCGAACACCUUGCAUGCCUACUAGCACUGGCGAGAGUCUGGCAGUGCCCCGGUGGCAAACCAACCGAGCUCACCGUAACUAGAGCCAACGGCUGAACGGCGUGCACCGGUUUGACGGGGACCCCCGAGCACCGUCCGGCCACGGAAAGAGAUCCGCCUUAAGAUUUGACAGGAAAGAUGCGCCGUACCAAAGGAUUGGCGUCGGACGUGCGUGUUUACCCUGGCGCGCACGCACGCACGCGCCAUUUACCGACUCCUGCGACGCCACGACACGCAUCGAUGGCCCGCGGCCGGCCGGCUGCCUGGGCCACGAGCCCACGAGUAACAGCUGAGCCAGCCAGGCACCUAGUACGGUACGGCGCACCGUCGUUGCUGCCUGCCGCCGCUGCGCGAAUUCAACCAACCAUUUGCACCUGGAAGCCCCGUUGGGCGGGGUAUCUCAUCACGGACGCACGACGAGGAGCGGACCGGAUGGCACCGCAGGAGCCGUCGUGGAGCCCGCGCGCCGCCCGCCAGAUGUAGCAACCCCACGCGUGCCUUCCGCGCGCGGCAGGGCUGGGGUGGCGGCGGCUGCGGUGGCAGGCAAGCACGCCGCAGCUGCCCCCAGCGAGUUCGCCGCGGCAGCUCGUGCGAUCGCCUUCGCCGAUGGGAACGCGUGCCGACAACCAGUUCGGCUCGUCGCGUUCGUUCGGUGGCGCGCCAGGAGGGCCGCCGAUCAGCGUGACCGCGUCGAUCGACCGAGGAAACGCCUCGUCCACGGCAUUUGCCUCUUCGGGAGGGAACGGACCGCCCCGACACUCUGCUGGUCCCUCCCUGGCAGGCUAGCUGGCUUGGUUCGGCCCUCCGGCCGGCCGUCGCGUCGCGUCGCGCGCGUGCCGGGUCGCCAUCGCCUCGGACUAAUAUAAAUAUAUAAUGCCAUUUGACCUGGCGCGUACGUCGACACGUACUGCCGUCGGGCCUCAUUGGUCCGACGCUCGGGCGAGUGCAUGAUUGCUCUUGCUCCGUUGCUGAACAGCAGCAGUACAGGAGCGCUGCAUAGGCAUGGAGGAUCGACUGCUAAUCCCCGGGGGCUGUUGGCGUGGUGCUACGGCAAAGCCAUGCAUCGCGCUGCUCCUGCCUGGUACGCUCGCUGCCUGCACUGACACACAGCAGAGAAGCAACGUGCGCUGCGGUCUAGUACCACACGUUCGGGACGGAAGCUGGACAGCAAGUUGGUCGGUCGGUAUGCGAUGUACCACCGCCGGUACUCGGAAGACAUUACGCGCAGUGCGUGCGUGCUCCCGGUGCUGCACUGCAUGCAUGCAUGCAUGCAUAUCCUCGCGCGCUGGGGGUCUCGGCGAGCAGUUAAUGGAGAAACAUGCCGUGUCGGCCAGCCUGGGCAAGCCAAGCAAAAGCUCGCCGAACUGCCAUGUCCCGCGGCCCGCCCAUGGGAGCCAGGGAGGUCAGGAUACACGCGCGUGGGCCUCAGCCUCACGACAACCAUCGGCUUUUGCUGCCUGGUUUUCUUUUUUACUCUACUUUUUUUUUCCCUUUUCUUUUGUUCGCUCUCUACGUACACGUCGUAGUAUCUUUUUCCACGUUGGCCCACGGGUGUUGUGACGCGCAAUCGGGUUCCGUUUCCGUUGGCUGCCUCACCGGCAUUUUGUGCCAUCACGGGCAGUUAUGUUAAACCCGUGUGAUCACAGACGCAAAAUGCAGUUGGGGUUGUCAGUAGCACGUAACCUGUGACAUGGUAACAUGGAUGGAUGGAUGGAUGCAUGCUCUCAGUCGUCUCUCUGUCCUGUCUGUAAAGCGUGUGUGACAAUAGCAGACGUCCAGAGUCGACCAAGGUGUUAAGCCACUGUUUAGGUCAGCUAAAGCAUUGAUGAUCUGCAAUCGAUCACAAAUGCAAGCACGAUUACAGCGCUGGGACAAGAUGGGAAGCUAAACUGCAGCAUAUGGUGUGCUCCGUUCUCUAAACUGGCAUGAGCUGUAACACGACGCAUUUUUCUUCUCCCUGAUACAAUGAUGACAUGCACGUCUUGUCCUCCCUGUUGGAGGAAAUAUAAACAGACAGGAUCGGAUCGGGCGAAUAUGACCAUGUCACCACGGAGCGAAGGAUCGUGUUCAUUACACGGAGUAAUUAGCAUCUCAGGUACCGUAUUAGGUGGGUUCCAAUUUGUCUAUGCCCGUUGAUAUGGUUAUGAUCAGUUGCACUAUUUGACGAGCCUCGAACAGCAUGGGGCCUCAAGGGAAAUUGCAGCGUCGUCCGCCCUCCACUAGAAUCUGAAGAUGGAUUGGCUAGAAACUGAAGAUGGAUUAGUUGUCAUGAACGCGCAGGGCACGGUGCAUUAUAUUUGCCGCAAGCGUCACUGUCAACAGAGGAAAAACAAUGCUGUUACUAGUAUGUAAUGUACUAGCGUACACAUCUCCAGGCGCUGAAACCACUCUCAUUUUGUGUUUAUUUUGCCGGUGGUACGAGAAAAAAAAUCUCACGUCGAAAGUGUCCUUGUAGUCUAGAUUCAAAGGCCGGCCGCACUGGGGGCCAUCUGGCUUGAAUAUGUGCUCCAUCUUCUCACAAAUCCUCAUCAGAGCAUUCAAUUCAAGGCCUCUGAUGCAAAAGCUUCUUGCCUGGGCGCUCAUGCAGGUUUCAGCAAGAAAAGAGAGCCUGUGUUUCUGUGUGCGAUGCAAAGAGCUGUGAAUGCAUGGCAUGGCAUGCAUUGCAACAUGGCCAUUUGGCAAGGGUGUGCAUGCAGUGCAGGGUGCCCACGGAUAUGGAUGCCAUGCCACUUUAGUCCCUUUCACCAUUUUUACAGCUCGGGAAUGUGACGAAAAAGAAAUUAUGCGUGCACUAGUGCAUGAUUGAGUGAGUGGUCGUUGGGUGCAUAUGGAUGGGCUGGCGACGAGGCUGCGUGCCGGUGUCGUCGUCGUCGCUGGGACUCGGAGUCAAGCCCAUCACACAUGUCGUGUAUUUAAGGACUGCCAAAGUUUCUGAUUGUUUAAAAAGAAACAAAUGUAAAAUUUAAAGAUGUUAUACCUAUACAGACAUUGAUGGCAUUGACUUAGUAGCACUUGUACAGCUCAGUUUUUAGAGCGAGAAGAAACUGUGUACCAGCUAGGUAGUACUGCUUCGGAUAGUUAGUAUGAUUAUUGGGUCGCGCAGUUAUAGUAACAGUCAACAGGUACUGUUAUCUAAAAUGUUUUAAAGAUGCCUGCAUGUGCUCUUUUUUUUAGUAUCUGCGAAAUGACGAGAUAUUAGUGGUUUUUGAGCCAACAUAUGGUGUGCUAAAUGUGCUACGGCGCAACUAACACGAGAUUUUUGUUCUAGUUCUGUUGUUCCCACAAUAAACCUGACUUUCAAAAAAAAGACUUGAGUUUCGGUUGUAGUAAUCCAUAUAGUUAAGUACUUAAGUUUAAAGAGUUACGUCGUCACUGCUUAAAAUUCCUAAUUCCGUCGCGUCCAUAUAGUGAAGUUUAAAGUUUACUUUGCAUAUGAAAAAUGGCUAGCUAGGAAUGUUCCAAAACGAUACGGCGUCCGAAACGGCAAUUCCAUACCGAACGGAGUACAUUAUAUAUUCUAAAGACCAGACAUGACAUUUUUUUUUACAUGUUCAUUCUUCAUAGCGCAUAAGCUCUUAGCUACAAGCCUACCAGAGGCUACCCAUACCUAAAAUGAUCUCGAGAGCUUUGUACAUUUGAUUUAAGCACAAUAUAUGUUUCUCCAACAUUGCUGUAAAUGUAAAACUACGAAGGAGCGACGAGUGAUUAAAGUACACUAGAUAUUUCCCUAGUAUUGCAUAGAGUAUGUAAAACUAUAUGCGCAGGACCUCCUCGGGGAAAAAAAUGCUGAAGGUUCUCCUAACUGUGUUGUGUAAAUUGUUCUUUCGGUAUUUUUUUAAUGAAAUACGCGUGAAAUCAUACUCUUGAUUUUUUUUUGUUUGAACGCUAUAUAUAUAAGCAUCUUUUCAGGAGUUGUCGACUCUGGCAAAGAAGACAAAAUUCAAUACGAUGAAAUGAAAUUGAUACAUGCAAAACUCAAGAGACAUGAAAACUCAAAAAUAUCUGCUAUAUUAGUGACAGCUAUAUAUACGUUUCGUUGAAUUUUGGCUCAUGUUGAUGCUGAAAGGGUAUGAGAGGAAAAUACGGUUUCUUAGCUGAAGAGUAGUUGUUGUAGAACAAGAAGACAAUUUAUGAUAAGUAUUUGACAUAGGAUUACUCAUUACUGGUUAUUUUCCCACACAACAUGCAACUUGCACAAGGGGAUCUACGUACUCAAGUUUUACUUCUUAGACAAAAGGCUAAAAAAUAGAAGAAAGUCCCAAGAACAUACUCCGUCAUAGCAGCAUGGAGUGGUUCUGUAUAUGUUGUUUGGAAUCUAAAUGAAAACUACGCAGAUCCUACGUAAACGACUUGAUCAAGUGACCGAUUUACAACAGCUAGCUAGCCGACUAUUGAUUAGUCACUGACGUACUGCAGGAUCUAUGUAGUUUUCUUUAGGAGACAGCGCGCGCUGUAAUCACACCACACUCCUUGCUUGACGGGGGAUUAGCUUGAUCUGGAUCACUUGGACACACUAGCUAGAAGCCUAGAACGGGUAAUCCAUGGGGGCCGCAUCGAGCACGCCGGCGCUCUGGACAUGGUGGAAGUGGCUGUCGUCGUCGAACAGCCACGACUCGAUCGCCGACAGCGGCAUCUGCUGGGCCGGCGGCACGGUCGGCUUCGUCUCGAACUCGAAAACCGGCCCGCCAGCUGCCGCCAGCGUGACGGCGGCGCCGCCACCGUACGACACCUCCGACGCGUCCGAGGAUCCGGUGGACGCGCUCUCGGCGCCGCCGGGCGUGCCCGGACUGCCGCCGCGGGCGGCCUUCCGGCCAGCCCAGCCGUCCAGCAUCCGCGAGAUGUUCUCCGUGGUCAGUACGUACGGCCCCGCGGCGGUGGCGGCAGCGGCAGGCGCCGACGACGGGGAGCACUGCGACGCGCCCGACGAGCUCGACGCCGGGCUGUCGCCCCCGCCCACGCCCAGGCCAGCGCCCGGCGCGUCGACGGCGGUGGCGUCGCGCUGCAGCUGUGGCGGCUUGAGGUCGUCGAGCGGGGUGAGGGCCUCGCGAAGCGCGCGGCGCGCCAGGUUGAUGUCCGUCUGCAGCCUCCUCUCCCACUGGCCCUUGGACGACGACGGCGGCCUGUGCGCCGGCGGCUUGGCCGCCCCGUCGCCGCCGCCGCUCUGCAGCUUGCGCUUGAGGUGCGUGUUCCAGUAGUUCUUGAUGUCGUUGUCCGUCCGCUCCGGCAGGUACGACGCGAUGGCCGCCCACCUACACCACACAACACCAUGGGUUGCCGUCAAUAACACCAUCCAUCCAUGUGCCACACUCGUCGUCAGCUGUAACACCAUGUGCGGAUGAAUAAAUCUCCGUCCGUACCUGUUGCCAAGGAGGGCCUGGAGGUGGAUGAUGAGCUUCUCCUCCUGCUCCGUGAAGUUGCCGCGCUUGAUGCCCGGCCGGAGGUAGUUGGUCCACCGCAGCCGGCAGCUCUUGCUGCACCGCAUCAGCCCUGCAUGCGCGCAAGAAUCGAUCCGGCCGCCACCGAUCAGCUCUCGAUCUCUAGCUAGCUCUAAUAAUCUUUACUAAUAAUGGAAUGAAGUGUGUGUGAUGGAUCAGAUCAUCGAUCUAGCACAACAUACCAGUUUUGGCCGGGACGGCGCGCCAGUUGCCGGGGCCGUGCUCCUGGAUGUAGGAGACGAGGACGAGGUCCUCCUCCGGCGUCCAGGGGCCCUUCUUGACGCCCUCCUUGUCGCAGCACGGCGGCCUCACCAUGGUGGUGUCGAUCAAGGACCUCUUUCGAUCGAUCUCCGUGAGCAAAAACAACUGGCCCUUUUUUCACCUUCCCCUUAGCUUGCGGCAAGGUUAUUGCUAGCUUGCUCGUGUGUGAUUGAUGUUAGUGAGCUGCGGGGUGGUGGUGGUGGUGGUGGUAGGCAACAACAACACACAAAAAGGCUACAGCUGCUAGCCACCGGCGCCGUACAAGAACAAGAGCGGGACCGUCAGAUCAGCAGAGCUCUCUCUCUCUAUCUCUGAUGAUCCGUGUCUUGUUGCUAGCAACCGAGCUAGAAGAAGCCAGCGCGCGCGUGUUGGUAGAUGGGUACUCGGCGGUGUGGUGGUGGUGGUGUGGUGGCGGCUUGAGGACAAGGGUCCAAGGGGGUGAGGCGUAGGCGUGUAUAUAUAACGGUGGCCGUCGCGGCCGGCCAAAGCCCAAAGCAAAGCACAGCGCUGACCUUUUGUGGGGCUGUGGGCUAUGGCUAACCAAUGCAACCGGGCCGGCCAGGGCCUUGUUUAGUUCCGAAAAAAUUUGGGAAAUGGACACUGUAGCAUUUUCGUUUGUAUUUGACAAAUAUUGUCCAAUCAUGGACUAACUAGACUCAAAAGAUUCGUCUCGUCAAUUUCGACCAAACUGUGCAAUUAGUUUUUAUUUUCGUCUAUAUUUAAUACUCCAUGCAUGCGUCUAAAGAUUCGAUGUGACGGGGAAUGUGAAAAAUUUUGCAAAAUUUUCUGGGAAGUAUACAAGGCCCAGGAUGCCGAGACAGCUAGGGUAUUAGCAAAGGUCACUUGAAGAGUCAAAUGUAGAGAGAGAAAAAUGAGAGUGGAGUAGAGAGAAAAUUAAACGAGAUUUGAGUAGGAGUAGCGUGCAUUUACUCCUAGCUCGUGGCAAAGUCAGCCUGGUGGUGGGGCGGUACAGCCACAGUGAAGUGAGCAGUGGCCGGCCGGGGCCUUGCCUGGCUGUUGCUGCCGCUAGCUAUUGCCCGCCCGGCUUGAUGGCCUCGCCUUUGCCCUGGGCGUCGCGAGAGCCGCGUUGCAUUAAACGCGCCGGGUGCGUGGCCGCAUAUGGCAUGUUGCAACGCACGCACUUGGUUUCCAUCCCGUUGGCCGUAUGCGAUCCCCGUUCAGGACCCGGCGGCCGCGGCUGCUGCUCGCUCUCUCCUCCGGCCGCCUCUCUCCACGACGUCUCCCCGGGCCCGUUGGAUUCAAUGCGAGCUCCACCGGCAGCAGCAAUCUCAUGUGCGUGCCCCCUUCAAUUUCCACACACCACUGGUGAUCGCUGGGGCCGCCGGACCUCCUGCGCUGCGCUGCGUGUGGGUACUCGCGGACGCGGUGGUAUCCAGACGAGAUCGAGACGACCCAGUCAAGGAAUCGCUAUUACUACCCCUCAGACUACUUUGUUGUCGAUCAGUUGAUGCAGUGACGUUUUGGUCAUCCAGGCUCACGAGCCACGACGACGACCCAGGUGCAGAUGCAUGUGGCUAGGCUAGGCAACCGUGUUUUGUUUUGUUUUGUUUUGUCGCGCCUCCGCAAAUGCCUCUGUGCUCGUAUCAUCGUACUCCUAUGUACGCACUAUACACAGUAGGUGCGUGGCGUGACCGUUUCGAUUCUUGAGGAUCGCUACGUAUCAGGGCUAAGCGCGUGUUUGGUUGGUAGAGACUGUAAUCGAACACUUUGAUGAAGUGCUUGCUGUUCUGGGACUACGAAUGGCGAAGCCAGUGGACUGGCUAUGGAGAAUUGGAGAUGUUCGUCUCCUUCUAUGGCUCCGUUUGUUUAGUCGAAAAGAUACGAUUGAAAAUAUUUUUCGUUAAUUUGUUAUAAAAUAAAAAUACUAUUGAUUGACUUUUAGAUUCAGCAUAUAGGUUUAAGACCUCCUUGCCUUUGCCUUUGCCUCUUUUCUUCACCCACUCUCCCUUCUUCUCCCCUCUCAUGUAGUACUGGGUGAUAUGUUUAGCCAACGGCACUGAAAAGUGUAAGGCCUUCUUUAGUUCCCAACAAAUUUUGCAAAAUUUUUCAGAUUUUCCGUCACACAGAAUCUUUAAACGUAUGCAUGGAGUAUUAAAUAUAGACGAAAAUAAAAACUAAUUGCACAGUUUGGUCGAAAUUAACGAGACGAAUCUUUUGACCCUAGUUAGUUUAUAAUUGGACAGUAUUUAUCAAAUACAAACGAAAGUGUCACUAUUUAUAUUUUACAAAAAAUUUUGAAAGUAAACAAGGCCUAAGUGGAUGUAUGAGCAACUAUAUUUGUCGCACCUCCGCAAAAGACCCGUAGAUGUACAGCGUCACUUUACAUGGACUCUUGUUUUGGCUUGGUAGGUACACUUAUACACGAGUCUUGGCACAAAUGCAAGUUCUUUUACUUGACUUGGUAUGUAUCACACUUCACGACAAAUUUUCAUUUUGCGAACAAUUUCUCUGCUAUAUAUCCUCUUAAUGACAAACAUUCGUGAAAAAAAACACCAUUUUUCUUGUUAAGUAUAGUAGAGUCUCGUUUGGAUCCACUGACUAAAAAUAGUUGUGGUACUAGUUAGACUAGACUACUAGUUUGUCUACUCAUCUCUAGAAUUGUAAAGUGCAUUUUAACCUUGUUUAGUUCCCAAAAAUUUUGCAAAAUAUGAAUAGUAACGUUUUCGUUUGUAUUUGACAAAUAUUGUCUAAUUAUAGACUAACUAGGCUCAAAAGAUUCGUCUCGUCAAUUUCGACCAAACUGUGCAAUUAGUUUUUAUUUUUAUCUAUAUUUAAUACUUUAUGCAUACGUCUAAAUAUUCGAUGUGACGGGGAAUCUGAAAAAUUUUGCAAAAAUUUUGGGGAACUAAACAAGGCCCAAGAAAAAGUCAUACAAGGUAGAUUUUGACACUUACCUGUCCUAACAAAGGAUGCAAUUAUACAAUAAUAAUACUAAGCCAAACUAUAUGAAGUUUGAUCGAAUCUUAGAGAUAAAAGUAAUAGUCUGUCUAACAAUAUGCCGCCGGUCGCUAAAAAAGACAACACCAUCCGGAAAACGAUUUAAAUAGAAAUAUGUUAAUGCAAUUUUUUUUUGAUGUUAAUGCAAGUUUUGUAUGCUAAACUUGUAAAGAAAAUGUAAAUAUGAUUUUAUUUACAAUUAAAACAAGUCUUACAUUUCUAGAAACUAUUAGUUAGAUGGGGUGCAGACAUGUUCGUGUUUAAAAUCUUGAAAGCUAAUCUCUUAAGUCAAAACAAUCCACAAAUCACGAAGCCAUCGUCUCUACCACCGGAGUAGUGAGGAAUCCAACCCGAGAUGGUAGUUGAACCUACGGGUGCCAAAUCGUACGAGCAGGUCUCAUCGGAUCGGGUACCAACAUUAAUUGAUGAUGAUUGGGUGUUUGCUAAAUUUUGCAUCGGCAGGUGCCUACCAACGUCCAAAAUAUGAUGGGUAUAACCAAAUACUCCAAUUUUCUAAUAACGUUUUGGUACGUUGGUCUUAAAGUUCUAAUAGUAUUUCAAGAACUUGUAUAAUUAUACGCACAGUGAUAAAAAAAUUUCAUGUUUGUUGUCAAAUUUCAUAUAUGUAUUAAUGCAGUCAUGAUACGAUAAAUUUCAUCAGCAGAGUGAUAAAAACUGCACUGGUGUUUGCUCCAGCUGACCCAUUCUCGUCACUAGUCCAAGAAUGGCAUUUAUUCCUACCACCUGCAGAGCCAAAACCAGGGCCUUGUUUAGUUUCGAGAAGUGAAAAGUUUUCGGUAUUGUAGCACUUUCGUUUGUUUGUGACAAAUAUUAUCUAAUCAUAGACUAACUAGGAUCAAAAGAUUUGUCUCGUGAUUUACAGCUAAACUGUAUAAUUAGUUUUUGUUUUCGUCUAUAUUUAAUGUUUAAUGCAUGUGCCACAAGAUUCGAUGUGAUGAAGAAUCUUGAAAACUUUUUGAUUUUCAGGGUGGCCCAGGUCGCCGGUUUUUGACCGCCGUCUCUGCCACAACACUUGACUCCACGACCGAGGUCACCGGCCAUAGCACACUGAGACAUAUCCAAUCUUGUAACAAAUACAUUGAGCAUUAAAUAUAAAAAAUAACUAAUUAUAUAUUUUAUCUGUAAUUUAUAAGAUAAAAUUUUUAAAUCUAAUUAUUCGAUAAUUAUAUAAUAAUUAUCGAAUAUAAAGGAAAGUGAUACCAUAUCUAAUCAAAAAAAUAUAUUUGGACCUACACAACGCCUGACAUGGGUAAGUUUGACGGGCGGGCGCGGUGCUUCGUCACGUUACGUUCCCCUCGACGAACGCCAUAAAAAGUGGGCUUUCCGGUGCAGCCUACCGACGAUCCCUGUGAGAGUAGGCAGUACCACAGCCUAGCACUGUGGAGGGCACAUGAAUAAAGCGGCAUGCAGUAGGGCAAUGAAUGCGUCGUGUUACCUUGGUACUUUACGCGCCAUAUAGAUAGGCCAAUACGUACACUACUUGCAAAUAUUGUAUAUAUAUAUAUAUAUAUAUAUAUAUAUACACGCAGUUACUAUUUAAUGUGGUGCACCAAACCGCAGGCCAGCGCCAGUGCGGUGCGGAGGAGCAGGAGACCGACCGACCGAUGGAUCCACGAAACAGCAGGAGUGUUGUACUGUGUGCAUAGCACCGGCACAUGCUCGAGCCCGGCUGCGGGCUGGCCGUGGGUGCUCCUCCUCUAGAAGGGGAAGGAGAAGGAGAAGAGGUCAAUGCUCAGGAGUAAAGGCCAUGCGACGCCAAGUCAACAUGUAGUCCACUGGACAGGAGGAGUAGCUUGGAUAGCUAUAGACCGCCUAGGAAUAGCUUGCCUCUUGGAUUGUGUCUCGGAUUUUCUUUUUUAUUGUGCCUAGAAGUAUGUCUCGAAUUAAAUACCGAUAGGAUCACAAAAGCAGAGAAGGGUAGGACGGUCGCAAAUACGUACGUACUCGUAGUACAGUACUACUACCAUUGCCAUACAUAAAAUAGAAACAUAAGUUCGACUUUUGAGUGGAUUUCUUUUGUCAUGAUUUUUCCUAUGAAAUCAAACACUCAACUGUUUUCUUUUUGUUUUUUCGGGAAGGAAAGAAUCCCUACGAACAGAGGACACUGCAGUAGCUCAGUCCUUACUCCUUAGGAAUGGAAAUCCUAUAUUUUUCUUCAACUUUUUAUUACAAUCCAAAGGACACUGCAGCAGCUUAGUCUUUUUUACACAGUUUAACUGUAAUUUAUGAGACAAAUUUUUAAACCUAGUAAGUUUAUAAUUGAAUAGUAAUUAUUAAAUAGAAAAAUAUAACAGUGUGAAAAUACAAAAACUUUUCAAAGUCUAAACGAGACCCACGUAACCAAACAAGGAGUAGAAGAAGACAUGGUCAGCUCCUCAGCCGGCCAGAGAAUUAAUGUGGUGUGGUGUACCAGUACGACCAUGCGGCGAUUCAUCAGCUGCCAUGGAUGCUACCGGCAGAGCACGAGAUGACUAUCCAAGUACGCCCCUGCACAUUCCGCGAAACUGCCACCAAAUUAAAUGAGUACUACAACGGCACGAUUUUUUUUUUGUACUAGGCACGGUUGUUUCUCAGGCAUGGUCUUUUGAUAUUUUCAAGCAGAAUAUAGUGAUGGCAUGCUACGAAAGAAAGGUAUCAAAACUGUGGCCUCGCUCUAUACCCUGCGAAGAUCAUCAGAGCUCUAGUGCUUCACUUUGGAAGGAGGUGGACAUCCCAAAAUCCCAAUUGCAAUUGGAGCGUCAAUGUGUGUAAUAACGUCUGAUAAUGCACCAUCUACUAUACUCCGACGAGUAUAUCUAGCAGCCUCCAUCGAUAUCGUAUCAUUCAUUCCAUAUUUAAGCCAGUGUUUGCCGCGGUACGGCAUCGCAUCGUCUAUAUAUACACAGUAUCUAUCUCUGUUUAAGCUAGUAGGAGCACAUGGUACUGGAGUCGCCGCGCCGGACACCAAAUUGAAGGUGGUUUCUGUCUCAGCUUCAAUGUGCGAUCGAUGGCUGCCUCUCCUUCCUAGAGAGAGUGCUCCUGGAGUAUAGGAAAACGUUUUCUUCUGUAGCGCCAGCGAUUGAGCGUGACCGGCCUGCCUGUACUCUCGGCGCGUACACUGUACGAGGUGAAAUCAUGACUCCUAGCGUCAUCGCCGCCAUAAUGCACAGUAUUAAGUCGAUCGGUUAGGGCAACAGCUAGCGUGCCCCCUUCGCGGGGCUGUUCGGCUGACGGUUGGUGCGACCGUUGCUGAUGCUAAUGUUAAUAUUGAUUUGCUGCGAAAUGAAAUAUUGUUUCGUAGUUAAAAGGUCAUAGUUAAAAAUACUGCUUACUGAUUUUUUUUUUUUGAGAAAAAACACUACUAGAUUACUAGAAGUUUUAAUAAAUAAGCUUAAGCGGAUAGAGUCAGUGUUGAUUCUAGCUGGCUCAAUGUUGAUUCUAACGAACGUAAUGCAUCUGCUGCCUAUGGUGCUACUCGAUCGAUCGACGCAGCCUGCAUAUCACAGUACCGGGGGUGUGUUUAGAUCCAUAUUUUUUGGAUUUCGAUAUUAUAGCACUUUUCGUUUGUAUUUGGUAAAUAGUAUCUAAUUAUAGACUAAAUAUGAUCAAAAGAUUUGUCUUGUAAUUUAAAGACAAAGUAUGCAAAUAAUUAUUUUUUAUCUAUAUUUAAUUCUUCAUGCAUAUGUCAUAAGGUUCGAUGUGAUAGGAAAUCUGGUAACUUUUAGAAUAUUGAAGGGAUCUAAAUAAACCCUAAGUCAAAUUUUAUUUGUAACUAAUAGCAACACGUGUUGUCUUUUGCACAUAUGGAUAGACGACUAGUGAGCAGACAUACAAACGAAAAUACUACAAUAGCCCAAAUUAAAGUUUUUCGCCAACUAAACAAGGCCUUACCUAACUAGGUUAGCGUUACUACUACUAGUAGCUAAGACCUUGUUUAGUUGGUGAAAUUUUUUGAUGUUGGCUACUAUAGUAUUUUAGUUUGUAUUUGACAAUUAUUGUCUAAUCAUAGACUAACUAGGCUUAAAAGAUUAAUCUCUCAAAUUAUAGACAAACUGUACAAUUAGUUAUUUUUUAUUUAUAUUUAAUGCUUUAUGCAUAUAUCCAAAGAUUCGAUGUGACGGGAAAUCUUGAAAAUUUUUAAGAUUUUAGGGUGAACUAAGGCCUUAUCUAGUUCACUUCAAAAUACAGAAAAUUUUCAAGAUUUCCUGUCACAUCGAAUCUUGCGGCACAUGUAUGGAACAUUAAAUAUAGAUUAAAAAAUAACUAAUUGCAUAUUUUGUCCGUAAUUUGCGAGACGAAUCUUUUGAACCUAGUUAAUCCAUAAUUAAAUAAUAUUUAUCAAAUACAAAUGAAAGUACUAUAGUGUCAAAAUCCAAAAACUUUUUAAAUCUAAACAAGACAUAAGCCUGUUUGGUUGGUUGAUCGAUCGAAAUGACCUGGUUAAUUAAUUCGUGCAACGGGGCAGUCAUGAUGUAGGAGUAAUUACUGGUAGAAAUUUUUACUCCAAACAACGUACUCCUAUACUUAUAAAAGAAGUCAUUUUGAACAAAAUUUGAGUUUAAAAAUAUAAAUCAUGAAAACUUUUAGUUUGUUAAGUUUAGAAAUGUAAAAACCAUAUAAAUAGAGUUGUCUUGAAAAAUAUUUUUUUUUAUAAAAUAUACAUAUACACCUUUAAUAAAUAUUUUUAUAAAAAUAAGAAGUCGAAAUAAAACUUUAGAUAACGUGCCAUUAUCAAGGACUUGCUCUUUGAGUAGGAAGAAAGUACUACAAAGUAACUGCGAUCCACAUAGGCCAUGAUUAGUUCUGAAAAGUUUUUUAAUUUGGUUACUAUAUCACUUUCGUUUGUAUUUUUUAAUUAGUGCUCAAUUAUGGAAUAAUUAGAUUUAAAAGAUUUGUCUCACGAUUUACAUGUAAAAUGUAUAAUUAGUUAUUUUUUAUGUAUAUUUAAUGCUCUAUGUAUAUGUCGUAAGAUCUGAUGUAGUGAGAAAUUUUGAAAAGUUUUUAGAUUUCGGCUACUGAGAUAACUAUAAAAGGUGUAGCCGAAAACAUGGAAAUAAUGGCGGGUUCACACGACCCCAGUCCAGAUGCAGAUAGACGACGACCACGCAACGCAAGCAGGUACUGCGCCGACGACUGGAGUCAAUCCGAAAUCAACCGCCCUGGUUCUUGGUACUGCAGCGCUAGGGACAGGCCAGUUGCGCGCGUCAAGUGAUCGUGAGAGCCAGGCGUAAUUAGUUCAUCUGUUAACACGUGAGUGUCUUUGUCAUAUCGAGGAGCAACCGAUCGAGACGCAGCAACAGCAUAUUAUAGGAGGCUGCUCAUGGAUUCGGCUAGCUUUAGGCCCUGUUUAGUUUAAAAAAUUUUACAAAAUUGUUUUAGAUUUAUUGUAAUAUCAAAUCUUACAGUAAAUACAUAGAGUAUUAACUAUAGAUAAAACAAAUAACUAAUUACAUAGUUUAUCUAUAAUUUGCGAGACGAAUAUUUUAAGCUAUGAUUUGAUAAUAUUUGUCAAAUACAAACAAAAUACUACACUAUUUAUUUUUUGAAAAAUUUGGAACUAAACAAAGCCUUAGCUAAACUCCGGGAAUUGAUCGAUCGAGCUCUAUCCGCCGGCCGGACCGAUGAUGGUUGGAGAUCGGAGACACGUCGUCGAUGACGUCCAUGCGACCAUGCCACACCUCCGUCAACGUACAUAUAUACAUUGGCGUCCACUGGUUCUCUGAUGGAAGGGCAGGAUGUAACUCUGCCUGCAUGCUCCUGUGCUACGGGUGAUGCAUGGAUCAGCAGGGUCUCCUUGGUGCAUAGCAGGAUCAGCUUGAAGAGCGCGAUCGGAGUGGCAAGCCGAUGGCCCAUGGCUGGAAACCACGCACGAGCUUGCCCAUGCGUGACGCUCGCAGUGAUGCUGCUGGUACCGCUGACCGCUGUGCAGGCACAGCACAGGCACAGGCACAGGCACAGCCGCCUGCAUGCAUGUACGAAUACGAUAACGAUGACCAGCAGCCGUACGGCAUGCAGCUGACAGAGCUGCGCGCCUGCGGCCUGCGCUGAUGAUGCAUGCAUGUCCUUCGCAGCGACGUCACUCGUGACCAUGCGUCCGCUGCUGGUUCCUGGCUGCUCCUCCCUGCUGAGCCAGGAGCCCGGACCGGAGCCACGGUCCACGCCCCGGACUUGCCGGAGCCAUCAGCCAGAACCUGCCAAGGCAGCAGCAGGAUCUCGGAGCCCCCCACUCCUUCCCCCGCGAGACGUCCCGCCGUCCCGGCCGGCAGCUCGAUCGACCUCGCGCGUGUAGUACGUGGACUCACCACGGACGUGCCGCGCACACGGCUGGCGCCGCGAGCGAUCGCCAAGCAGGCACCACGCGCGCACACGCAGACACACGCACGCGGCACGCCCCUACUAGGCCCUAGCUAGCUCCCAUACACGCAGACACGCGCACGCGGCACGCCUCCAGCUCCCAUACUACGUACGGGUCUCCGUUCAGACGAGACUUUCUGGGCUCCCGGCGUUACUCCCCGGCGGGACGACGAUGUCGGCGAGCGAGCGAGGACGGCCGCGCGCGUAUGGGCGCACCCCCGUAGUACCGACCGUCCGAGGAGGACGGACGCGGAGCCACGUCGCGGUCGGCUCGUACGUCCCGUCGCGUUCCAUGGCGCCUGCCGCCACCUCGCUCUCGCCCGCCAUGCUCGCCCGCGUGGGGCCGUCCGUGGCCGGACGCGCCCAUGCCCGGGCAGGCCCGCUGCCGGCCGCCGGCCGUGUGGUGUGGUCCACCACCGCCAACAGGCAGCACCGCAGCAGCAGCGGCGGCGAUCGAUGCCUGCUGACUGACAGUGAGGCCAGGUGGAUAUACUAGUACAUGUUUAGGGAAUUCCCAUGUUUAGAUGGUCGUUUUAACGUUGUAGCGAACGGGCCGAGGCCCAUUCCAGAGGAGCAUGGGCCACCAUCAAUUCGAAGCUGACCAUGAGCAAUGCUAGGAAAAAAGUCAACCGCUUCUUAGAAUUUGCCCGGACGUUUCCUGAAUCUGGACAGCGUUAGUACGCCAUACGCGACACCAUUUUGCUCCAUUUCUUUUACAGGGUUCAAGGCCGCAUUUGGUGCGUGUACAAGACCCAAGAUACGUGUAUGCGGUGAUUGGCUUUGUUUGUCCUUUCUCUAUCGCCAUCUGAAUUUUCGGUCCAAUUGGUCGUGUUACCAAUAAAUGCAUGAUCCAUAAGUCAAGCAACGUUCUUAUCUCUCCAUUUUUCAUCAAGGAAAACAAAAAAGAAUAAUACAGUUGCUUCACUCGUUGGUUGUAUGAUUCUGAUGCUUAUGCGACUAUGCGUGAAGCAGAGAACAUAAGCAAGGACAGAUCACUUCUUUUUUUUUUUUCUGAGAAAAAAGGACGGAUCACAGAUGACAAAUUCUAGGCUCGCACUAUGCCUGCUCAACAACAAGAACAAACAGGUUGGUUGAGCCCACAUUUUGCACCCAAACGUCAACUCUUGGCUGGCAAAAAUAAGCUGAAAUGAUUUCGUGAGAGAAGAAGAAGCAAGAUGAUGAAAGAACGUGUGGAGUACCCGACAAGUGCAUUGAUAAGGUGAGCCCUAGGAGGGCCCAUCAUAAAUCUGGCCCAACUCAUCAGACUGAACUAGCAGCUAUUUAUCAGGGUUCAUACUGCUUCAUACACUUCUUUCAAGAUUGCUAACUAAACUCUAAGUGAUGCAAAUGAUAUGUUCUUCAUUUUUAUACAGAAGAGCUGAUGAUACAUCCUGUUGCGACGGGCCACUUGCCCACACUCCUUGGUGAUGUUGUGUGCAUGGAUCCUGGAGUCAGUCCAUAGCGUGCAGUUUCUGAAAACUCUUCAGAAGAAGUCGUCUUCAGGUGUCAAACUCCAUUUAUGGAUCGACAAUACUAAUUGACGAGCGUCAACCUAAUUCUAAAAGUUUUGUGAAGCUGAUUGGUUUAGAAGAAGCCAAGUUGAGCAGUACAAUCGUCGAUCUGAAAAAAAAAGAUUUUAAGUUCACAAAGCCACAUGGCGGUCUGAAACUAGCUUCAGGGUUUCAGGAGAAGAUGGCCGAGAUUUUAAUUGGGUUUGCAAUUUGAUAUGGCUGCAGGAAUUGACUAGCUAACAAACUGACUGAUUAAUACAAGUAUUUCGGUAGUAUUACUGUCAAAGUGUGCAAUUCGUCAGCGUUGUCCCUUUAUUUGCCACCACAAGAUCAGAGCAAGACAGCAACAGCUAAUGAUGUCAACACAAAUACAGUGUACUGAAUGAAUGUUGACCAUUAAUGCUCCAAGAGAAGUUGCCGAUAGCUGUAUAGUGUAGUUUGACAGGUUUAGAAUGGAUCUUUCACUCUCUUCUCCUGUCGAUCAAACUAGGUAAUGCCAAGUCAAGUUUUUUCUAUUUCAUGACUGAAUUUUGGUCAGGAAAUGAACAAAGUAUAUUAGUAUUUUUUUUGACAAGAACAAAACAUAAUAUGAACUGCUGACAUGGUAUAGUUGGAACAGCCUAAGCCUAGAAGCAGGUUUAGCACAGUAGGAAUCCAAGCUGGAGCUGAAGAACUUAUGGCAGUGGCCAUAACUAGCGAGACGAUAGUGCGCUCACGAUGAGUACAGUACAACAGAAACCAGUAACGUUGCUUCGUCAUCGAGGAGAACAGGCCCAAUUAUUCCGAAAGCGAUUAGUACUAUGGUCUUGGGGGACCUCUGUCCUUUGCCGGCUCGCCAUCAUUCUCCCGGAGAAGAUACUGACAGCAAGGAUAUUGCCGCCUAAGUAAACAGAUCAUAAAUGGCGCUCACCCCACCCGGUCAUCAAACUCGCGUGCAACUGCUGUACCUUUUCUUGUCGAAUGGAGUAGUCUGGCAAUUUUAAGCAGAGGUUAGCGAUGUUACUCUUUUUAUUCUCCGAUUAAAUGGGUCGAUCCAAAUGAACAAAUUCGGAUUUCAAAGAUAGAAAAGUGGCUAAGACAGGCCCAAAACUAUCCAUUGGCCAUUGGGUACCCACUUGGCCACUUGCAUCCGCAGCACGGGUUGCUGAUCAGACAGGCAUUGAAAUCCUGAUUAAAACCCCUCCUUUUUAUUAAAAAAAAACCUGAUAAGUCAUAAAUAAGGUGCCUAUAAGACGCAAAAUUGGAAAGGAGGCAAGGAGCUGGUGAAUCUUUGGUUAGAUUGUGCGAUUGAUAUUAGAAUUGGCAUGAGCGUCUGGCUGGUCUGAACCAACAUUUGACUCCCUUAUUCAGUUAGGGAAUUUGGGUUCAUACACAAAGAUCUUUAAGAAGGCGAAACAGUACAGACGAUAGAUGUUUCUUUUCUUUAUGUGAAAGAAAGAUUUUUUUUAAAAAAAAAUAUGGAUUCUCUAGUACUGUUUAGUGUUGAUCACUUAGCCUCUUGGUCUGUGUGUAUUAUUUAGUUUGAGUUUGUUCUAUUCGAUAACAUCAUAUUAGCGAAAGCGAAUAUUUAUCUUCAGGUGUCAAACUUCAACUCUGAAUCUGUGGUUGAUAGUAAAACUACUUAUACAAACUGUACAUCUCCUUAAAAACAACGGAUUGCAGUACCGAUUGAUGAGUAUCAAUCAAUCAAUUCUAAAAUAGAAGUUCUGUGGGCCAGAAGAAGUGAACGUUGAGCAGUGCAGAAAUCGCUAUCAGUCAAAAAACUUACUAAUUGUAUCAACCAGACAGGUUUGAAACUAGUUUGAGGGCUGCAGGCACAGCCGCACAGGUGACAGGGGUUUUUAAUUUAGUGAUUGGUGAAACUACUUGUAGUUGUACUAGCAUAGCAGUAGCAGAGCGAAGAAAACGUGGCUGCUGCUGCCUACUGCCAUGAUGAGCUCGACAAUAAGUUCCAUCAGGAAGACAAUGCACGGAAUGAAAGCCCUGCUAGCUGUUCCUUCAUCAUAUAGAACGACCCUAAUUACUCUUUUGAGAGGGAUGAUUGUAUGGUAAGGGCCUGUUUGGUACAGCGCAUGAGCUGUUGUGAGCUAUUCUUUUUUUUUGCCGAACACUUAUUUUCAAAAUAACUUUAUGGGUGAAGCUAUUUUUCUCCUCCUCUCACAAAGACAAAAGUUGGAUGAAGCUGAAAAAAGUAGCUUAUUGUAGUUUUCUCCCUCAUUUCUCUCUCUCAACUAUGCAUGAAGUAGUCGAUGAAGCUAUUUUGCCAAAUACUUUUUCCAAAACAGCUCAGCUUCAUCUAGAAAGUCACUCAUGAAGCUAUUUUCUAAAAAAACAGCUUUACCAAUAAAGUUGAGCUGUGCCAAAUAAGUCCUAAGACGUGGACAUCUCUCUCUCCGUUGCCUUCUCUCUAAAACUCUAAUAACAUCACCGCCAAUGGAGAGCUUAGCGUGCACACACCCUCAUGGGCGAAGCCACGUUGAAGUUACCUAGUGCACAGGCACCAGGGUAAAAAAAAAUUUGCUACUAAAUGACAUUUUUUUCACCAUAUGUUCACUAAAAUUUUGUAAGUUACUUACAUAGUGCACCAGGGUUCGUUUGCUCCUAGCUUCGCCUCUGCACACCCUAGUGAUGCUAUCAUAUUUUGAUUCUUUUUUGAGCACUUCUAUCAUCUUUGAUGAAGCCUGAAGAAUCAAAGCCUAGUCAGAGUCAACGUAGGCCGUGGGAUUGGGCCGGAUGGUUUUCGUUGCGGCUCAUGUAAUGGGCUUCCCUGCUUAUACACAAAGGCAAUGGGCUACACUUGCAACUACUGAAUGCCUGCAUCUUGACAAACCUGUAAAAGAAAUAGAAGGGUGAUCACUUCUCUUUCUACCGUUUGGAUUUCACCCUGUCACAAGACAAAAGGAGUACAAAGUUGCACACCUUCUUGGUGAGAAUCAAAACAGUUAUUGUCAAGGCUCCUUGACUCCUUCAAUAUUCAAGUUUACACGCUUGGUAGCUAGUGACAAAUGGAAAGAUGUGAAGAACUUUGGCGUAUUGAUUCAUGUCGAUGGAGCAAUGUUUUGGCUAACUGAUGAAGACGCUGGAGCUAGCUGGAAGCAUGUUCUAGCGAAGCUAAGCUACUGGAAUGUUACUCGACACAUGAAGGGUAUUUCAUUUUUGGAGCAGAGGUCUGCCAAUCAGGAAACUUGUCUUGUGUUAAGGAAGGAAAGAAACAAAACAAAACAAAAAAAAAAAGAAAAAGAGAGAGAGAACUUGUCUUGUGUUAAGGAAGGACAGAAACAAAAAAAAAGGAAAAAAAGAGAGUGAACAAAAAAAAUAAAAAAUAGUUUGUCAAGAAUGGGAUUCGAACCCAUGCCCUUUCGGACCAGUACCUGAAACUGGCGCCUUAGACCAACUCGGCCAUCUUGACAUGUUGCUUUUGGUCUAGAAUAUAAUCUAAUUAAUCCGAUAACUCCACCAAAGCAGAAUUGUAACAAUAAAGCUUUGGACCCAAGACUUCGGUGUAUUUUCAAUAACUAUGUAUUGCAACACUGAUUAUCCAACAGUUCAAUUUAUAUCAAGAUUCAUGCAAGUCAAAAUAGAUUGUUUUUAUUUUGGUAGAGGUGAAUGGGUCAUAUAUAUAAGCACUGCGUAACUAGGUCUAAAAAAAAGCAACUGAAGUGAAAGUGGAACACCGAUUCUAACCACGCGCACUGUUUCCUUCGUGUCGAUUUCAACAUCCACAGUAAUAAAAGUAUGUUCAAAUGUUCAAUCAUGGACUAACUCAUCUACUCUACUCCUGCAUCAAAUAUAUGACGAAGUUUUAACGAACCAACGCAUAUGAGGACAGCUAGUAGCCGGCAUUUACCUAUCCGGUACCCAGGUUGUCAUUAUUUGAAGCUUAUAUAUAAACCUGUCAUAUUCCUGGCAAGUACAUACAGAAGUAAGGGCUUGUUUAGUUCUUCCCAAAACCUAAAGUUUUUAAAAAUUCCCUGUCACAUUGAAUAUUUCAAUAUAUGAAUGGAGCACUAAAUAUAGACGAAGACGAAAAAAAACUAUUUACACAGUUUAUUUGUAAUUUGCGAGACGAAUCUUUUGAUUCUAGUUAGUCUAUGAUUGAACAAUAUUUGUCAUAUAUAAACAAAAGUGCUACGAUGCUCCUUUUCUAAAAUUUUUUGAAACUAAACAAGGCCUAAACAUAUUUAAUUGGCGCUUGUUUAGACCGACAAUCUUCUUUCUCAAAUCAAAACAGAGUACCAGUUCCCUUGCAGCAGUUUAUUUCGUCUGCCGAUCCACGUCGUCAUCCUUUUUUCUUCUAAUUUGCCCGGUCAGAGCCGUCCGAUGUGGUGGUGUGGUGUGGCAGUGGCAGCUUCAUAUUUCACUGGUUGUUUGCUGGUCUAGAAUAUAGUACCAUUUUAAACAAUUUAGAAUACACUUCUUCCAAAGUACUUCAGUUACUUGUGCUGUGGUAACAUCCAUGUGAAAACAAUACUAUUAAUUUCAGCCUUGACUUUUUAGACUAGCGAACAAAGAUAACAGUCCAGCCGUACUUUUUCGACCAGCUAGCAGUGUUUUUCUCUCACAAAGUCACAGUAAAUUAGCCGACAGUAAUUUCAGUCUUGACUUUUGAGACCAACGAACAGGCGUGUGACACCGAUAUGAUCCGACAUUGGAAAUGGAGCUUGCUCAAAAUUAUGACGUAGUACUAUCAACCAACCAACAUAUACAUGAGGACAAAUAGUGGCCGCUGGCCGGCAUUGACGUACCCGUUACCCACAGGUUGUCAUUGUUUGAAUCUUAAACCUGUCAUAGUCCUGGCAAGUGCAUAAAUAAAAACAUACCAUGUACUAGUGCAGCAAAGAUUUCUACCUGCUGUUUCAGAGCCAUUUUUAUUGGCGGAUGACGCAACCAGUGGCACUUGUUUAGACCUACAAUCGUGUCAAAUCAAAACAGUACCGGUCCACGUCGUUCUUUUAGCUUGUUUGCCCGGUCUGAGCCGUCCGAUGUGGUCAUGUGGUGUGGCAGUUUUACAUUUCACUGGAAGUUGCCAAAACUAUACUCAAUUUUGUGCAUUACCUGUUCAGAUCCAUUGUUCCUUCAACCACCUGGCGUGGCCAAGGAAGUAACAUGACCAAGGACCAGUCCAGUGUACUGCCAUGAACACACACACACGUUCACACAUUGACCUAAAAUUUCCGAAUUCCGAUAAAAAACAAUGCAACCGAACUCGUAAUUGAUUGGGCUAGCCUCUGCCCGCUUUCUACAAGAACUCACGCUGUUUCUGCGAAGCCAGAGAAGCCUGAUCAGCUAGCAUAGCAUAUUCGCGCUGGACCGGAUCCAACUCAAUAUCUUAAUUACGCAGGAUACUAAUUGGCUCGUAUAGUCAUAUAGGUAGAUUGAUGUAUAGAUAGACACGUCGUGUUGGGAUGUGGUCAUGUUCUCUUACAUUACAAUAUAAUGUACGUUAUACCGAGUAGUAUAUAAGCACUUAAUUAGUUGGUCGAAUCUGUCGCUGCAGCUACACAAGAAACUUUGUCGCAGGAAAUCGCCAAUUGGCAAGGAUGAAGCUUGUGAUCGCCUUCUUGGUGGUGUUCUCUCUCGCCGUCUCCUCCACUGCGGAGAAGUUCGAUUUCUUCUACCUUGUUCAACAGGUGAUGCAUCAUAUGCGUAUUAUCGUGACCGGGGAGAGAGAUCGAUCGAUCGAUCGGCCUCUCAUGAUUUUAAUCCAGGAACGACGACGGAAUAUAUAUAAUCUAAUAAUCUAACAUGUGUUCCUGACUUCCUCCCUCGUUGAUGGCAUUACUCAUGCAGUGGCCGGGGUCGUUCUGCGACACGAGGCAGGGCUGCUGCUUCCCGGAUGACACGAAGCCGGCGGCGGCGUUCGGCAUCCACGGGAUGUGGCCCAACUACGCCAAGUGCCGUGGCCGCCAGGGCCUCGCCCGCGCGAUGCUCGGCGACGCCGCCGGCGCCGACGACGCCUUCCUCUCCACGGUGGGGCGGCGCGGCAAGUGCUGGCCGGAGUACUGCGACGACGGCAACGAGCUGAGCCCGUGGGAGAUCCGUGACCUGGUGGCGUCGCUGGACCGGAGCUGGCCGACGCUGUCGUGCAAGAACCGGCGCAGCUUCCAGUUCUGGAGCUACGAGUGGAAGAAGCACGGCACCUGCUCCAACCUGGAGCCGCACGACUACUUCGCGCGCGCGCUGGCGCUCAAGGCCAAGCACGACCUCGCGGCGAUCCUCGCGGACGCCGGGAUCGUGCCGUCGGACACCGAGACGUACACGGUGAGCAGCGUCCGGGACGCCAUCGCGCAGGGCACCGGGUUCGUGGCCAACUUGGAGUGCAACCGCGACGCGGACGGCGAGGCGCAGCUGUUCCAGGUGUACCAGUGCGUGGACCGCGACGCCAAGAAGCUCAUCGACUGCCCGCUCGCCAUGCCCACCAAGUGCACCGACCGGGUCAAGUUGCCCGUCUUCUGAUUCCGAGUUGUCGUUUUGUGUAAUUGUAAAACGGAUGUAGAUCCAUGGAUACAUGCAUGUGUGCGUAGUAUAUGAUUUCGAAAGCGGGUUCGAAUAAUAUGUACGUUUCCCUUUGUGAUUUUUUUUUUAAAUUAUACUGUACAACGCAGACACUCACGACGUAAUGGCUGAAUUUAAAAAUCACAACCCUAAUUCUUACCGUGCAUUAAUUGGUGAGGUCAGUUUUCUUUCUCUCUAAUGGGAUCAUGUGAGGGAAAAAUUUAACAACGCUCGGUAAGGAGACGGAGACCAAUUGGAAGGAUCGUUUGAGAUGAGAAAGAAGUUGAAUUUGUGUCGCACCAAAAAAAAUCAAGGCCGUGUUUAGUUGGUGAAGAGAAAAAAUUCGUAACACUGUAGCAGUUUCGUUUGUUUGUGGUAAUUAUUGUCCAACCAUAGACUAAUUAGACUCAAAAGAUCCGUCUCGUAAAUUUCGACCAAACUGUGCAAUUAGUUUUUAUUUUUAUCUAUAUUUAAUACUCUAUGCGUAUGUUUAAAGAUUCGAUGUGACGGAGAAUCUUCAAAAACUUUAAAUUUUAGGGUGGAAGUAAAAAACAAGGCCUUCAGUGCAGUUUGGCAGAACUCUUGCAUUGAAUGCCUCAUAGAGACACUCCUUCAAUUGCAUGCGCGUGACGACCUUCAAGAGCACACCGUACACUUGUCACAAAAUCCAGUGAACGACCUACUGUUUGAUGAUCAACUUCUAUGCAAUGAUGAAUACUCCGUAUUGCAUUAGGAGAAUAUUAUUUCGCUGGCAAACUCUAGGUUGUUGGUUAGUUUUUUUUUUCUUUUUGAGAGAAAUCGUUGGUAGUUUCGUAGACCAAAGUUUCAGUUGAUAAUAACGCCAAAUAAGAACAGAUGCUAUUUUUUUUUUUCGUUUCAUGUCCCCCUGAGAUCUAUGGUCUCUUCGUCUUCUCACCUAGCUACCUGGCGUGGCCACUCAAGCAACCGAAUCAAGUAACGUGAACACAAUGUCCAUACGCUUGACGGAAGUAUCCAAAAAAAAUGAAAGAAACGUGAGCAAAAUGUAACCGAAUCAACUAACAGCUGGAUACUUCUGCAUUGCUUGGCACCCCCUAAGCUUGACGGAGCUAAAGAAUAUUGCACGGUAAGCUGAGGAAGCAGUGUACACACCAUCGCUACCAAACCGCCAAACAAAGUGAUCCUCGGUGUCAGGCUGCAGCACCAUGCCACGCACCAGCUCGUCCACUCUUAGGAAGCCAAGAAUAGCCUGGACCGUACGAGCUCCUCUGAUGUCAGUUGCCCAUGCGCGGUUGAGCAAGGCCGAGUCGACCGUGCGGCGGCGAAGUCUGAUAGGCACCAGAGCCAGUAAGUAGGGCGCAAGGUGGCCAACUGAGUGCCCAUUGAUCCAGCGAUCAGAUUCCUAAUUCUGAGAAAACAAUGUAAUAAACGAAGUCGUAACAGCUGAUUGGAUCAGAGUAUCAGACCUGUGCCUGGCCAGCUGCUCGUUAGUUUGACCUUGAUUCCCUAUACAUGAUGAUGAACUAAUAAUUAAAAGUAUAUCCAUCGCAUAUUCGCUGGCGGUCGGCAUGCAUGGCCUCGCUCGAUCGUGCCAUGCUCAGCGACGCGACGACGCCUUCUCCUCCUCCUCCUCCUCCUCCUCCUCCAUCUUGGGCUCUUGGCCUUGGGGCUACGACGCCGGCAGCCCGCUGAGCGCCUGAGCCGCUGGGAGGCUGGGAGAUCCGGGACGUGGGCUGCUAUAUGAUCCAUCUCCUUUUGGCGGGCCUCCAGCUGCAGUUAAGCCGACGACCCAUGGGCCCUUCUGGGCCGUUUGGUAUAAAUCGACGCCGUCUCAGACUCCAGGUUCGAAGCUUAGUUUUUUUAGGGAAAAAAAAAGAACGACCAAGCAUGACUAUCUCAUGGAGCCCAUCGCAUGCUAGUUGUAAAAUGUCAAUUUCCUAGUACUCGGUAAGUUUUAUCGAACAAACCUGUUACCAUUUCUAGGUUUCGGUUAUCCGAUUCAUUGAGAUCUUCUGUUAGUCAAUUGCCAAAGGAUACCUGAUGACCUGAACUUCUCCUCCGCUUCCAUUUCUUUUAUAAAUACCUCCUCCGUUUCUUCGUGGUUCAUAUAAUAUACUUUUAUAUUUAUAGAUGCGCGCAGCUCUUUCACGUUCCUGCGUGUAUUGCUGGCUAACACAGGAUCUCGUCUCAGCUGUAAAGUGAAAUGGCGUUCUGGCAUGAUGAUCUCGUAUCGAAGCUUAAGAUAAAGUAUUGCUCCAACUGUUAUUAAUAACACUGUUUAUACUAGAAAAACUCCCAACAACCGUGUGCUAAUGCCAUAUCACGCGCAUGCUGAUCCUAUAAAUCCAGUGUCAAGCAACCAGCCGGGUAGCAGUCCAACACCACUGAAUCUAAACCACAGACAGUGACAGAGCCAAACGGAGUGCAAUCGAGAGCUGUCUGAGCAUCGAAACGAGAGGAAGAGCAUGGCUCUCCACUGCCCCCUCGCCGUCGUCGCCGUCCUCCUACUUCCUCUCGUCGCCGCCUCCGCGGCAACCGAUUUCGAUUUCUUCCACCACGUUCAGCAGGUAGCUACAAUCUCCGGUCCAUUGCCAUUGCCACCACGUCCAGGCGUACGUCCAGCAGAUUGUUAUGGAUAAUUGGAUACGCAUACUGUUUUGACUGCUGUUACUUGGUUGUACAGUGGCCCGGCUCUUACUGCAACACAAACACAAAUGCCACCUGCUGCUUCCCGGGCGGCAAGAAGUCGGCGGCGGACUUUGGCAUCCACGGCCUCUGGCCAGAGUACGCCGCGUGCCGCCCGACGCCGUGAACCCCAACAAGACCAGUUGCUGGCCGGACUCCUGCAACGCCACCGCUCCUCUCGACCUGUCACAGGUACGUACACUGUACUGUACACUACCAUUCAGUACCGGUGCACCGUGCACCCGCACUAUGCAUCAUCCACCAUGGCCAUGGUCUGACGGCACUCGGCACUCGCACUGUGCAGAUCAGGGACCUGGACAGCGACCUGCGCCGGAACUGGGGGACGCUGUCGUGCAAGAACAGGAAUAACACGCAGUUCUGGAGCCACGAGUGGAGCCGGCACGGCACCUGCUCCAACAUGGACCAGCACUCCUACUUCCUGGCCGCCCUGGAGCUCAAGGCCCGGUUCAACCUCACCCGCAUCCUGCUGGACGCCGGCGUCGUGCCGUCCGACGACAAGCAGUACUGCCUCCGCAGCAUCCGGGACGCCGUGGCGGCGGCCACGGGGUCCGCGCCGAUGCUGGAGUGCAACCGCAACGGGCGCAACGAGACGCAGCUGUACCAGGUGUUCCAGUGCGUCGGCCUCGACGGACGGACCUCGUCCACUGCCCACCGCCGGAGCACCGCAGGUGCACCGACAUGGUCAAGUUCCCACCGUUCUAAGCAUUUGGUUCUGUUGAUCUGCUUGAACGAAGCCGAGCUGAAUUUCUCGUUUGAGCCGUUGUGUUUUCGGCAUUUGCACCUCGCUAAGAUUCAACCAUUUUGACUGUAGCAUUCAACGUCCACUAAUGAAUGCAGCCAUACAGGGCGGCGUGCACUAUGCAACGUACAAAACUGACACAGCCAAGCACCCAAAGCUGAGACGAGACAGCGGCCAAUUCGACAGCUCGAGCAGAGGCUGUGGCUGACAGGCUCAGUUCAACGCUGCCUCCUGGUUCUGCUGCACGUACGCGAUGCCCUUGUCGAUGCUGGCCUUGAGCUUGGGCUUGAGAUCCUCCAGCUCGCGCGCCUCGUAGUCGGUGAGUCCCCUCAGCUCUGAACCCAGCACCUCCUCCACGCCGUCCCUCCCAAGCUUCACCCUGCACGCGAAGAACGGGAGCUCCGGCACAACCUGCGACUGCACGUACGUGCACUCGUACACGUCGUCGUGGCCGUCGAGUCCACGCAGCGACGCCUCGAGGAACCGCGCGGCGGCGUACGCCAUGGACAGCGUGGCGGACCCGGCGCCGGCCUUGGCCUCCACCACCUCGGUGCCGGCGUCCCGGAUCCUGGCGGUGAGCUCCUCCACCUCCUCGUCCGUGAACGCCGCCUUGGGCCGCGCCUUGGACAGCAGCGGCAGGAUGGUAGCCGCCGCGUGGCCGCCCACAACCGGCACAUCCACUUCCGCCACGGGGAGGCCCUUCCUCGCCGCUACGAACGCGUUGGCGCGGACCACGCCCAGCGUCGUGACGCCGAACAGCCUCCGCGGGUCGUACGCGCCCUUCUGCUUCAGCACCUCGGCGGCGAUCGGCACCGUGGAGUUCACCGGGUUGCUGAUCACGUGCACCAGCGCGCCCGGCGCGUGGUCCGCCACCGCCGCGACGAGGUCGCGCACGAUGCCGGCGUUGACGCUGAACAGGUCGUCCCGCGUCAUGCCGGGCUUCCGGGGCACGCCGGCGGGGAUGACCACGACGUCCGCGCCCGAUAGGCACCCCGCGAGCGCGUCUUUACCUGUGAAGCCGGCGACCUGCGCCGGGGUGUUGCAGUGGCUGAGGUCGGCGGUCACGGGCUCCACGUUGGCGAUGUCGUACAGGUGCAGCGCCGAGACGAGCGGGGACAUCUUGGCCAGCAGAGAAAGAGGCUGCCCGAUCCCUCCCGCCGCGCCAAGGAUGGCCACCUUGUAGCUGCCGCUGCCGGCCUGCGCGACGACGACCCGGCUCACGGCUCGGGACCUUGGCACUCUUGGUCUUAGAGUGAGAGAGUGACAGUAGGAACUGGAGUUACUGAACUGUUGUGCGUCGAAGGAACUAGCGCCAUGCCGGGGCCGUUUUUUGCAAGGAACUGAACUGAAGGAUAGGGUCGCGAUUGCAGCCGCUGCCAUCCUUUUCCCCUCUCUAUGAAGAUCUCUGAGGAUCUGUUUAACAAAAUGUAAACAAUGCAGAAGUAUCCAGCUGUUAGUAGUGCCAGAAGUUGAGGGUGCUCGAAAUGAGAAGUCAGUAGCAUGAUAUUACUAAUUUCUAAAAAAAAUGAAAGAAAAAAAAAAAGACAGAAACUUUGCCGCUCAAUUAAGCGGGGAGAAGGAAGUUAUUAUAUACACAUGACUAUCAAGGUGACAAACACAGCGAUCCGAAGACCCACCUAGAACCAUCCCCUUCCCAGGGAUUACCCUAUAGAGGAAAACGCUCUGCGUGUCUUUGUUCUAUGUCUUCUUUAGUCAAGGAAGUGACAUGCGACUAAGCCUGGACGAAAAACUCGAAACUCGGUAGCUCGCUCGACUCGCUCGUUAAUGGCUCGGCUCGAGCUCGACUCGUUUCUUAACAAGCCAGCUUGUUUUAUAAUGAGCUAGCUCGUUUUAUAACGAGCCAGCUCGAGCUAGCUCGCGAGCAGCUCGUUAGCUCGUAUGAGCUAGUAAAUUCACAAGCCAAAACUCGAAUUAGCUUGGCCCAUAUGGCCAUAUGGUUGUGCAUCCCAUGCUCCAUGCGGUGACCUUGGCCCAGCCCAAUUUUUGAUGAAUUUUGUAUGGAUGAUAAAUUAUGUAAUGGUCUUAGAUUUGUGGUGCGUAGUGGGCUGCCUUUAAACUUUACAAAUUGUGGAUCAAUGGAUGGUUUGAUAUAUUCUUGGCUUGUUUCUUGUCUAUCAGUUAAAUUAUGGAUCACUUAUUUUGUUUCUUGGCUUGUUGCUCAGUUGCAUCUUGCUGUAAUGUGUUUUUGAUGUUUGGCUCACGAGCCAAAACGAGCUGCUCGAGCUACUUAGCGAGCCGAGCCGAGCUGCUGUUCUAGGUCGUUAGUGUAACGAGCCGAGCUAUAACGAGCCGAGCUGGCUCGAUAUCCAGACCUACCUGCGACGCUGUCUUAUGUUUGUUUUUUAAAAUACUCGCUCCUAUUUUUUUCCUUCCACAAGUUCCACAUAAUCACCCUUGAAACGCCUCCCGAUCAUGCUUUGGCACCUUGUUGAUUGUUGCGUCAUGCCACCAAUCAGCAAUGCAAGCUAGGUCUUGCUACGGCAGCUGCAGAUUGAUGCUUUCCCAAACUAGCACUUGGCCCCAGACGACCUUCGCAGAUGGUCAAAGCAAGGAGAGGUGAAGCCAUGUCUCUAAAGGUCCAUUACACAACACAUAGUGGUCCUGAUGUUGCCAUCCCUUCUUGUGUAGAUUGUCCGUCAUUCCUUAUCGAAAAAAAAAAAGAUUGCCCGUCGUUAGUACUUUGCCAUGCAUGAGGAUCCAGGUGAGUACUUUGCAUUUAUUCUCCACAAGCGCUGGAAUUUUUGGUGUGGCCCCCUAAACUGGAUCCUGUAUGCCGAUCGUGCUGGUUACUUUCCAUCAGCUAUCCACUUCCAAGUAAUUGGGUCAAAUUUCUACAAAAAAAUGUACUUGUAGCUGAAUUGACGCCAUGUAGGACGACUGAUGUGGCACUACGUUGGCUAAAACCACUCUUAAAAACGCUACAAGGGAGGUAAAUCAGAUGAUUUCAAUAGUUAGAGGAGUCUAAAAACUGGUUUUGUAAGUUGUAACCGAGGGAGAUAAAUCAAGGCAGGCGAAACAGACUUUUACUAUCAGUCGUGAACAGCAUAAGUAUUCAGCCCAUCAAAAAUUGGAUCGUGAUGCCCGAUCCGGAUUCGGCCCGCAUGCUACCAGCUGCCGGCCCAACACCGCAGGCCUGCUCUCCACGCACCCGACCCAACGCCACCGAGCAGGACUGCAGGAGCGCGGAGCGCCCACGCCCGGGCCGGCAGGCGCAAUGCUAGUUGUUGGCAGGGAAGAAUGCGGUCUCGCGAUGAUCCAUCGUUUCCGCGAGAGCUCACCUUCGCAAAUCCACCGGCUCUGCCUCUCCGAUCACCGCUUCAUCAUCAUUUCACACCCAAAUAGCGACGAUCGAUCGAGCUCUCGACGGCUGCUGGUGCUGGCUAAUGCGGCCUCCCUCCGUCCGCCCGCGCCCCCACACCCAAAAGCAUGCAGAUACGACGCGCGAGGGAAGAGAAAUACUACUGUAGUACGUAGAGAAGUAGACUGGAUCGAGAUGGAGAAAGUGGCGAGCACCUGACGGACGGGAGAGCGCGAGCAACGGAGGAUGGAGCCAGUGCCCAGUGGUGGCUCGCGGCGCGGCGGCUGCCCGUGGCCGUGGCCGCGUGGCGCGCGGGAGAGAACAAGUGAGUGGCGUGGUGAAGUUACGAGCUAGAGCGGGAAGCCUAUACCUCGCCGGGGCCAACAGCCGGAGAGGAUCGAUGGUGGCAUUGUGCAUGUGGCUGUGGAUUUUUCGGCUCUUAUUUCCUUCCUAUCACAAAUUUAUUUAUCAGUACACUUUGAAAAGCACCACUAAAACGCUUUGGGGAGCUCACUGUCUACUGAAUCUCUAUCAACAAAAACAAAAAAUGUAUGUUUUGAAAAGCAACACUAGCUAGCACUCUGAACCGCGCACGCCAAUCUUGAAAAUGGUUUGUUCGUCAGUGGAACUGCAUUCUUUCUCCCUGAUUUUUUUCAGUGAAAUACAUAGUGGAGCCAUUCCGGAUCACAACCAUAUGCAAGGUUCUUUGAAUGAGUCGUGCCCGUGCAUUCGAUGAUUUGAAAGAGUGACAAAUAUUUCCACAUCUGGAUCGGAGGAGAGUCAUGCCAACACCAUCACGUAGCAUCAGAGACGCAAUUUCACAAAGCCUAAGCCAUUCCUUUUCUCCGUCUCAUAUACUCUCACGAGUCAUGCAUGAAACCAUAUCUCCAUAACUUCUCUUCAGUGGGUGGAUGUCACCUGAUGUCGUGGCCAGUACCGUUCAUUUGGUAUACCGCUAACAACUUCUCUUAAUUAAGUGGAUGGAUGUCACCGUACGUGAUGUCGUGUCAGUACUACCGUUCGUUUAGUAUACCGCAAACAAGGAAAAGAAAAACGUUCCAACACCACGUACGUACGUGCCACACGCUAACAUAAGAGACACCAUCUCACUGAACUUCACGAGCCUCGGCGUCAAUCAAAUCGACCUAUCCCAACUCGAUGCUCCCAUCGGCGAAGUUGAGGUUUGUGCCGCGAUCAAAGAGCUGCCGAGUGACCGUGCGCCGGGGCCGGACGGAUUUACUGGCAUGUUCUACAAGACCACAUGGCCUGUGAUUCGCUUGGAGGUAAUGGCUGCUGUUCGCGCGUUCGAGCAGGGGAAUUCAAGGCACCUGAACCUCUUGAACAACGCAGUCAUUGCUCUUCUUCCAAAAAAAAAUGGGCGCUACCAAUCCUGGAGAUUUCAGACCAAUCACCAUGGUACACAGCUUUGCCAAGUUAAUUUCAAAGGUUCUGUCCUUGCGUCUUGCGCCGCGGCUACCAGACUUGAUCAGUAAAAACCAGAAUGCAUUCAUCAAGGCCCGAUCAAUCCAUGACAAUUACAAGUAUGUUCAGAGGGCUGCAGCUCUUAUCAGGAAGAAGCAGGUUCCUAUGCUACUACUCAAACUAGAUAUCUCAAAGGCCUUCGAUACUCUUUCCUGGCCGUUCCUCUUGGAGACACUUAGAGCACAUGGAUUCAGCGCACAGUGGUGCUCCUGGAUUGAGUCGCUACUCAGCUCUGCUUCCUCCAGAAUAAUGCUCAAUGGACGCCAGGGACCUCCAAUUAGGCACAUGAGAGGAGUCCGUCAAGGCGACUCUCUUUCCCCAAUGCUAUUCAUAAUUGCCAUGGAUAUCUUACACCGGCUGCUAGCGAAGGCGGUCCAGGCUUCGGCCAAUGCCGAUCCAGGAAAUCAAAUUCCAAUGCAGCUUGUACGCGGACGAUACAAUCCUGUUCAUCCGGCCAACAGUACAGGAAGCACUGGCAGUGAAAGACAUCUUUGGCAUCUUCGGAGAAUCAUCCGGACUAUGCACCAACUUGGCAAAAUGUUCAGUAACCAACAUCUAUGGCGGAGAAGCAGUGCUGCCACAAAUCAUCUCAAUUCUAGGGUGCCAAGAGCAAUAUUUUCCAAUCCGGUACUUGGGGCUGCCCCUCAGCACAAGAACAAUACCAAAGGCCAACCAGCAGGCACUGGUGGAAGCAGUGGCAAGGAAGCUGCCGUCAAGCCAUGCAUCGCUAAUGAACAGAAGCGGUAGGCUGAUAUGGGUGAAAUCAGUGCUGCGAUCCGUACCAAUUUAUGCAAUGAUGGCCGAGAACCUUCCUCCCUGGGUAGCCAAAGAGAUCGACUCCAUUUGCCGGAAGUUCUUCUGGACAGGUACUCAUCAAUCUGUGCGAGGUCGAUGCAUGGUGGCCUGGAAAACGUGCUGCAGACCGACUCAUUUGGGUGGGCUAGGGAUCAGCGAUCUACGCCUAACCGGGAAUGCCCUCCAGACAAGAUGGUUGUGGCUGCAACAGACGGAUGAAGACAGAGCUUGGAGUCAACUACCGCUCAAGGUCUCAAAGGAGGUUCAGGCUUUCUUCAAACCCUCCACUUUCACUGUACUGGGAGACGGGCGCCGCACACUGUUUUGGGAGGACAGAUGGAUUGACGGCCUCAGUAUUGAAGACAUAGCGCCCUACAUCCAUGGGCGAGUGCAUAAGCGAGUAAGAAUGCGGCAAACUGUCAGGGAAGGACUGCAUAACAGAACUUGGGUUCGAUGCAUCAGUGGCGGCCUUUCAGUCACAGAGGUCAUCGAAUACCUCCAUCUGUGGACAACUCUCAACUCCUACGAGCUCACCGACGCUCCAGAUCGGCUUGUCUGGCGGUGGACAGAAGAUGGGAGAUACACCGCCAAAUCAGCCUACUCCAUGAUGCACGUUGGCUCAAUCAAGAUGUGUGGACACAAGCUUGUAUGGAAAACUUGGGCACCACUGAGAAUCAAAAUCUUCCUAUGGCUUGCUCUCAGAAGGAGACACUGGACCGGAGAUAGAAGACGGAGGCAUGGUCUAGAUGCACAGGCCAGCUGCUACCUUUGUGAUCAGGCAGAGGAAUCCAUUGACCACAUCAUCAUUGAAUGCCCGCUGGCAAGAGAGCUUUGGUUUCACAUCCUCCAUUCGCUCGGGCAACAGUUACCACAAGCACAGCCGACGACAUUAAAAUGGUGGAGACAGCUGCGCUCUACGUUCUCUGGUAUCCGCAAACCAGGAGCGGACUCCCUCUUCGCGCUAGUCUCGUGGACAAUUUGGAAAGAACGCAACACUCGGUGCUUCAGGCAGUCUUCUGCAACCAUCGCCGAACUGCUCCAGCUAAUCAAGGAUGAAGCCGAUCGAUGGAUACAGGCGGGAGCUCCUGGGUUAAAAAUUUUGGCGCAGGGAUAGUCCCUAGCCCUUUGCGUUCAGCUCUGGUUGUUUUCCUUCGCGAUGUAGCUUACCGCAAAAUACUAACGCUAGGAGCGGCACUCUUGUAAGAUCCAAACUCUUCUCUUCUAAUAUAACGAUAUACACUCUCGUGCAUAUUCGAGAAAAAAAAAGUAAAGGAGACCAGCAGUUGUCCUUUGAAGUAUCAUCUCGAGAGUACCUACUCGCCACUUCAGCAUUGACACGGCAGGGCAGGCAGCAUCCUGCUCAGCAAUUGAGACACAGGGCUCAGGGUACAGACAAAAGUAGGCAAAUACAGGUGUCGAAUUAUGAAAUCAAACAAAUCAGAGCUGGAUACAUACGUUACGUACAUAUUGUUAUUCCAAAACCAACCAAGCAGGCCAGCUAACGCUUCUGGAAGCGAAGAAGAGAUGCAUAUUCCUGACCAGAGAACCCCACGGCGUCUUCCUGUAUAAAAACUGACAUAUCUUUACCAAAUGGAUGGGAUCAUGAUUCAUGCCACUCCAAUCAUUGACGUGAUUCGAGGUUAUGAGCAAUCCAUCCAUGAACAAAAAAGGGUGAGCAGAAAUGUGCCCUUUUUCCUUCGUAUCAUCAUGAUCACUGCAGGGACAGGGCCCAUCCAGCCUACUUGAUCAGCUUUGAUUCCCGAUCUGAAUUACGGACAUGGCCCGUUUGGGUUUUUAUCGUCGUCCUCUGUGACGAAAUAGGGGAGGGACCACCAAAACGAAGAAGAUGCUGUCGUCGGCCUUGUAUACCUUUGCAUUGCAUCUGCCCACACGGCACCAUGCGAGGUCGUGUACUCCAGCCAGUCGUAACGAGGCCAGUACGUCAAAAGUAGAAAUGCUAGGGACACAUGCGAGGAGGUAGGGUAUGAUCCUCUUAUAUCUGUAGUUUGGAAGUUGGAACUUAUUCUAGCACAAUUAUAAUCUAAACUAUAAGCCAUAGGAUGUUCUUUAUUUAAUGCAUGUACCAUAUAUAAUCCUAAAUUAUAGUCUAAACUAUAACCCAUAGGAUGUUCUUCAUUUAAUGCAUGUACCAUAUAUAAUCCUACUCUAUAUAGAUUAUCUACCUCCUCACAUGUUCAACAAGUAAAAGAUUAGAGCAUCUCCAAGAUUAUCUAUUUCUCAUCUCAUAUCUUAUGAUUAGUAGUGUAUUUUUUACUUCUUCUCUUCUGAUAAAUUCAAAUUGUCAAUAUUUUAAGAAUAGAUAGGGGAGAUAAGGGUCUCCUACAUUUGAAGGAAAGGGAAAUAGAUUUUGAGUAACUACUUAAAACUUUUAGAAACCAGGUAUAGGAUGAAUAAUUUGUUGGAACAACUAUAAUCCCUUAUAUUGCAUUUUUUGCAUUACUAGGUAUGGGAUAAGUAAUUUGUUGGAGAUAUUUUUUACAUAUGUUUUUUUAUCUCUCUUUCAUUAGGAAUUCAUAAGCUACUGCAAACGUGAGGUUCUCAUGUAACAUCCAAAUUCAAGACAAGUACCUUCUUUAUUGGAAAAUGUGAUCAACAUAGGAGCAGCUUGACAUUUUUUUAAUUAAGAAGAAAAAUAUACACCUAAUUUGAGUUAAAUAGGAACAUUAAGCAAAUGGAUGCGUCACCACAUAUUCCACCUAAUCAAUUGAGCUGAGCUCACUUCCCUACUCAUGCUGUUCUCAUAGACCCAGGCCUUGUUUAGUUCACCUCCAAAACCAAAAACUUUUCAAGAUUCCUUGUCAUAUCGAAUCUUGUGGUACAUGCAUGAAGCAUUAAAUAUAGAUGAAAAAUAAAAACUAAUUGCACAGUUUGUCUGUAAAUCGCGAGAUGAAUCUUUUAAGUCUAGUUACUUAUUUGGAUAGUAUUUGUCAAAUAAAAACAAAAAUACUACAGUGCCAAAAUAAAAAAAAAUGGAUCUAAACAAGGCCCCAAUACUCUUCUCGUAAAAUUCUUGUUGUCCGUCCUAUUACACCAGGAUCUCUCCCUCAAAUAAUCCGUUCUAAAACACAAUGAAGCCACCAAGAAAGUUGCUAUUAGGCCAUCCUCAGUGAGGGUUUUAUGACUCAUUUUUCAACACAUCCAUAUUUUAGAAACAGUGUAGAAGAAUUUUAUCCUCAUGAAACUCUAUCUAUUCCCAUAAAAUUUUUUGUUCGUUUGGCUAAUAAGCCAUGACUGAAAGUAUUGUUGGCUGAUUUGUUGAGAGACAAAAACAAUGCUGAAUGACUGAUAAGCUCAAACAAACAAAGACCACAUACAAUACAAAAACAAUUAGAUCUUAAUCUCAACACGCGUACACGCAGACGCUGUCAAUUAACAAUUCAAUGCAAAACACAACUUAAGAAGAAAAGGAGUGCAAGAGUGGCGUGGGCUUAAGAAAAGCCCCAGUGGCAUCGAGCGCAUCGCGCAGUCGUCCUCGGCUACCCCCGCGGCUCCGCCCCACCUCCCCUUCCGUCAGCGACCGCAACCACCAGACCACCGGUCACCACCCAAUGGAGGCUGGGGAAAUCGGAGGGGCCCUCCUCUUCGUCCUCGCCGCCGCCGCCGCCGUCGCGGUCGCCGUGUCCGUCGGCGCGGUCGACUUCAGCCGCCCGCUCACCGGUACACACAUUCGCUGUUCCCACCCAUUCUAUUUCUCUCUCCCCCACCCCUCUCGCUCGGACGGCCGCGCUACAGCUCACGUGAUUUGACAUGCCCUGCGCGGCUGCGCCCGCCGCCCGCUGGUUUUGUCCUGCUUCGUUCCGCAGCAGGCUCGCCGCUCGACUUCCAGGGGGCGGUGUCCUGGCUCAUCGGCAUCCUCGAUGGCACGUCCUCCGCGGCGGCGGACGUGUACGGGGCGUGGGUGGCGGUGCGGGCCGGGCUGAUCGCGCCGGUGCUGCAGGUGGCGGUGUGGGCGUGCAUGGUGAUGUCGGUGAUGCUGGUGGUGGAGGCCGUGUACAACAGCGUCGUCAGCCUCGGCGUCAAGGCCAUUGGGUGGCGGCCUGAGUGGAGGUUCAAGUGGAAGCCCCUCGACGGCGCCGACGAGGAGAAGGGGAGCGCCCACUUCCCUAUGGUCCUAGUCCAGAUACCCAUGUACAAUGAGCUGGAGGUGAGAACAGACCACCACCACAAAAAAAGUCCCUAAAAUCGUAUUUCGUAUCGGAGAAUUUUAACUGUUCAUCCACUGACUAUUUGAUGAUUUGUUCUUCCUCUUGUUGCUUUGUGAGAUUAAAUAUUAUUUUGAUGUGGUUUGUUAUUCGGUGUGUGGUAUGGGCUCUUAGGUGUACAAGCUGUCAAUAGCGGCAGCAUGUGGGCUGCAGUGGCCAAAGGACAGGAUAAUGGUUCAAGUGCUGGACGAUUCCACUGACCCCUUUAUCAAGGUAACCUGCAGAGCUCCUUGUUUUAUGGCUGGGGAUUAUUCCUACAGAGCCCUUCGUUUGGUGGAGAAACUAUUAAUUUUGGUGCUGUUAGAUCCUAUCAGAACAAGUGAAACAUCAAACUGGUUUGUUAUAGCAGAUGAAUGCUCAAACUCGACCUGUUGUGGAAUCAAUACCAGGAGGAUGAUGUAGUUUUGACACGAGACUAGUAGUUUUGACACGAGACUAACUGCAAUAGCCUCAUAGGGGCAUGCUAGUCACUCAUUUGGGCCGGUUGAGUGGGUGCAGAGAGAAUGUUUACAUGUGAAGUGAGUACCUAGCAUAAAAGAUGCUCCUGCUUUUAUGAGAUUAGUUACAUGAAAGCUACUUCAGCAUUUGGCAUAAAGGGAACCUGAAAUGGUUGCCUCACCUGAUAAAAUAUUUCGCAAUCACAAGUCAUCAUCAAAGUAGGGAUAAAUGAUCAGAUAUUUUGAUGAGGUAAAUGCAGAACUUGUAGAAGAAAACAACUCGAAGGAAGAGACGAGGCUGAGAAUGAGAACAAAGGUGAAUAGUCAUCUGUACCAUACACUCACAUGGCCAACUGCAGGUCGGGCCCAGCUGUCUGGGUUUUCCUGCCGUUGUCUAUUAGGUUCUAGCAGCCUUGUUUAUGUAAAAAUAAUAUUCCAGCGAAAAUAGGGUUACUAGAACUGAGUAACCAUACCAAAACUAACAAUAUCAAACACUGUGGGGUAUUGGACUAACAGUAUCAUUAAAGUCUGUCAGCAGGACCAUGGGGAGUUUGGCCCUUGAUCCUUCAGGUACUGAGAUCUGCACACGCAGUAUGGUACAGCCACAUGAGAGUAAUUACUGUCUCCUGAGAUUUCACGGCAUCAUGAGCCCCCUCUCUGGCUUUCUGUUCACUUGUCUUUGUUUAUUCAGAACCAUAGAUCUGAGGGAACGGUUCAAUGAUUGGUGGGGAUAUUUUUCUUUGGAAUGGAUCUUCCUCACCUCUCAAAAAGUUUCACUUCAUAAUUUGGAGUACCUGUUAGAUUCAUGCAAAUCAAGCACUGCUCCUAUAAAAUCCAAUCUGUUUACACAACAAGAAAUCAAAAUUUAUGAUCUGUAUUCAACCAAAAAUCUUGCAAUUUUUCAUGAAGCACCAUUUUCAGAACAUGAAAUUUCAAACAAGAAUGUGAGCAAGUAAAUUAUAUAUUGAAAAAGGAAAAACGAUGUCCAUGCCAUUCCUCUCUGGGUGGCAGUAGUAAUACAAAUAUUGAUUGAUCUAUAGUAAUACAAAUAUUGAUUGAUCUAUCUAGUUUGAUUGAAUUGUGUCAGCGAAUGGGUUGGUUUAGGAGUACUCUUGGUUUAGUGUGAUGGGGGCAGUAGUAGUUUGCAAGCACAGCUGCACAAGGAACCUUUGAUGAAGUACCAAUGGCCUCCCAAGCAAAUAGAAGACAAUCCUCUUGCCAUCAGAUUUAUCCAUUUGUGUUGACAUAGCAGCUACUUGCCAACCUAUCUUCAGAUAGCGUACAACUAGCAUUUCAUUAUCUGAACUGCUAUCACAAGAGUUCCACCAUCUUAUUAUCAUUGUGAGUUAGAUAAUCGAAAAUAUUUUUGGGUCCAACAAAAAAAGAAUAUCUGAUGACUGGGAUUACUUGUUGCUGCAGAAUUUGGUGGAGCUUGAAUGUGAGCACUGGGCGAACAAAGGCGUCAAUAUUAAGUAUGCCACAAGAACCAGCCGCAAGGGGUUCAAGGCAGGGGCUCUGAAGAAAGGAAUGGAAUGUGACUAUGCAAGGCAAAGCGAAUACAUUGCCAUAUUUGAUGCUGAUUUCCAGCCUGAACCAGAUUUUCUGCUCCGAACUGUCCCAUUCCUUCUGCACAAUCCCGAAGUUGCACUUGUUCAAGCUCGGUGGUCCUUUGGUAAGUACUGCAUUUCCUGUUAGUCUUGAGCACACUUUUCCAGCUACCCGUCUAUCACUAGUGCACGGGAUUUAGUUAUGGAAUAGAAAAAUACUAUGGGAAAUAUUUCUUAAACCUCAUGCCAAACUUGUCAGAUAUGCUCCCACAUUUCAGUAUAUCACCACAAUGGAAUACUUAACCAUUUUCAGAUUUUUUUUCUUGUGACAAAUGCACAAAUAGUUCUUGCAACUAGCACAAGGAACUUGGAACAGACAAUCUCACUGUUUUGGCCUCCGGAUAUAGACAUCACCUUUCAUAAUGAUGACAUUAAAAUAUAUUUCCAUAUUCUCCAAUGGUUCAUGAUGAUGCCAGAAAGGUGGUAUAGAACUGUUCAAAGAUAAUAUAACAUGAAAAAGAAAAUGCUAGUGCAUAAGCUUCUCAAGCAAUAUAAUAUUUUAUUCACUCUGAUCGGUCCAAUUCUUAAUUGACAGAAUUUUGCAGUGAAUGGCACCACAAGCCUGCUGACAAGGGUACAGAAGAUGUUUUACGACUACCACUUCAAAGUUGAACAAGAAGCGGGAUCAGCAACCUUUGCCUUCUUCAGUUUCAAUGGUACGCAUCUUUUGAAAACCUCUAAAGAGUACAAUUUCCCAAAAAGAGGGACAACCCCAGAAUGUCGAUUUCAAAACAAUACAAUCUUCCUAAUGGCAUGUCUAUUCUAGGAACUGCUGGAGUGUGGCGUACCAUAGCCAUAAGAGAUGCAGGAGGUUGGAAGGACCGAACUACAGUUGAAGACAUGGACUUGGCAGUUCGAGCAACCCUAAAGGGCUGGAAAUUUGUAUAUGUUGGGGACAUUAGGGUGAGUAUAUUUUAACAUAUAACAGUGUUGGGGAAAUUUGUAUAUUUGAUUUGAUGUGAUCAUUUGACUAUGCAGACAUGCUAUAUUUACAGGUCAAGAGUGAACUGCCGUCCACUUACAAGGCCUACUGUCGGCAGCAAUUCCGGUGGUCUAGUGGUGGUGCAAACUUAUUCCGUAAGAUGGCAAAGGAUGUUUUGUUUGCCAAGGUGAGCAUAUCUCCGCCCAGGUUCCCAUUCUGGCAAAUCAUGUCUUUGGGGAAAAAUCUAAAAAUUAGCCCCACUUGUUCCAAUAGGACAUAUCACUCGUCAAGAAAAUCCAUAUGCUCUAUAGCUUCUUCUUUGUGAGGAGAGUUGUAGCGCCAACGGCUGCCUGUAUUCUCUUCAAUGUCAUAAUCCCCAUCUCAGUCACAGUCCCGGAGCUCUACUUACCAGUGUGGGGUGUUGCCUAUAUUCCCAUGGUGCUUACCAUAGUCACAGUUAUAAGACAUCCAAAGUAAGUUUCUUCGUAAUUGUGAGUUCUAGAACAACAUUGCUCAUCUGUCCUUUCACCAGAACACAGCUAAUGAACUUCAACUUGUCUUUGCAGAAAUCUACACAUAAUGCCUUUUUGGAUUUUGUUUGAGAGUGUGAUGACAUUGCAUCGCAUGAGAGCUGCAGUGACUGGACUGCUGGAAUUAGAAGGGUUCAACCAGUGGACUGUGACCAAGAAGGUGGGGAAUGAUCUCGAGGACACUGAAGUUCCUUUGCUUCAGAAAACCCGGAAAAGGCUAAGGGACAGGUGAAAACUCGCAACUAAGGUUUUCUGGAUUAGUACAAAUUAUGAAAGGUAGCAGACUGGGUUACAUUACUGAUACUGUUCUUUCUUGCAGAGUCAAUUUCCUUGAGAUUGGAUUUUCGGUGUUUCUCUUCCUCUGUGCGUCAUACAACCUGGUGUUCCAUGGGACAAGAAGCUACUACUUGUAUAUGUACCUUCAGGGAUUAGCAUUUCUGUUACUAGGGCUUAACUUCACUGGCACUUGUUCUUGUUGCCAAUGACAGCAUGUCAAAGCUGUAUGAAUUGCUGAUUUAUAAUCAUUUUCUGGCAUCCGUUUGUAAACGUUUCAAAUGGUUUUGAUCUUAGAUGCAUAGAAAGAUGGCAUUAUUCUGCAUGCUCUCAGUGAUUUAGAUCUUGUAAUACAAUACUGUCAUCACAAAGUUACAAGGAUGUGAACGUGGUGGCUGCAAUUAUCAGAAAGUGCUUUUAUCGUGUAUUGAAUCGGAGGGGUAUGCUGUCAAGCAAACACAAGUCCGAUGCCUCGAAAAACAGGUCUGAUGCUAAUACAGUAACAUCCGACAUUUAAAAACAUUUUUUAAAAAAUACAUUCAAUGGCAAUGGACGUGAAUUGCAUAUACUCCGUUGCGGGUUACAGAUCAUCAUCAUUCAGGCACAAUCGGAUAUAUGACCUCUCAAGAAAAAAGGACUAAAUACACAAGAUGAUUUUGGAGCUAGUGGGAAUGUUUUCUGGGCUGCCACAAGAAUGACUAACCUAUUCAUUCCUGGUUACAUCAAAAAGGGCAUUUCAUCGAAAUACAACCCUCAAACCCUUUCGACAGGGCAUCCUCAACAUUACAAGGGGAGUUCUGAAGACAACCUCUUGAGUUGUGUAAAUGCGUCUCCUCGUGGUAAUCUGAGGAGCUACUAGAAAAAUGGAUAACUUUGUGGGAUUCCCCCACUCCAUAUCUAGCGUCGUGACUUUCCUUGAGUCGCUUUAUUGGUGUAAGAUGGACGGAGCGUGUAAAACUAUCCGAGAGUUCUACAUCCUCUUCAUUGGACUUGAAGUGAGGACAUUUCCUCUUUGAUCCAGGUAGAGGAUCCAGUCCUGUAACAGCAGAUUCAGAAUGGUGUGUAAUGUCAAGUUGGCUAAAAGAAGAAAUAAAAAUAACAAUGCUCCAAAUAAUACCUUUAAAUGUACUUGAAAUGCUACACUGUGCUUCCAUCGCACUGCUGCAGUCAGUAGAGUGAUAAAUUCUACAUUUUACAAGUGGAGACACAUAAGUCAGCAUACAACUAGGAAGAAACAUUACUCUCCGAGACAACAAGAAGACUAAAUUAGCUUAUUAUGAAGAACAAAUUCACUAAAACUAUGUAGCUAAUUAGCUAUUGCAUAAAACAAACGUCCCAAUCAUUCUUUCUCUGCGGAAGCCAGGGUUUCCCCCGUGGGAAGCUUCCCAUUACACGUUUAAAAGAAGAACUGACAUGCAACAGUUAUGGAUGAAUCAGCGCUCAUCAGCAACUUCUGUGAGCGAGCCCCAUCCUAUUGUAAUUUCUACAAAGCCAAUCUGGUUUCUGCAGUGUUUUUUUAACUUGCUACCCCGUAUAGAUUGUCAUUAUGAUUUUGAAUAGACAGUAGUAUGCACCAAUCACACAGAGCUUUGCAAAAUAAACAAUUCUACAAAAAGCUAGUAAGCAAGCCACGUGUAGGCCUAUAUUCCUAUAGAAUGUUACAUGAGUAAAAUAGGUCUUGAGAUUUUCCCAAAAUCUUCCCUUGCAUUAUCCAUUUAAUGGUUAUGCUUUAUGUUUGACAACAGGAAGAAAAUAUAUAAACUGAACUGCAAGAGAAUAUAAUCAUGUUGUGGCAGCAAACCUGUGCAUUUGCUCCACAAAAUCAUCAAUCAGAACAGGCCAAGCACCUGAAAGAAGACACAGGGAACAGGAACUAAGAAAAUUUCUUAAUUAUCAUAGAGCUACGCUAUAAAGACAGCUGCAGCCUGCACAUAUAGAAUUGAAAAUCGAUAUAGUCAUGUAGAAAGAAUUUGUACCUCGUGGGUCAUAACCUUCCAGAUCUUCAUUUACACAUCUGCUGAAAGCUAGCAGCUGCUGCCAAGUAUCCUCGGAUAUGUUGUGGCGUUGGUACUUCUGAGAAAGAGUAUUAUAGUUUUAGGCUUUUAGCUAAGAAAAAAACAGUGAAGUCUAUUUAUGACUGUUCAUCAUAGGAAAAGGGGGUGUAAGUCAUGAAAUAAUCAAGAAAAAGAAUAUUAAUGGUUUAUUGAGGACUAAAGAUUUGAACUGUUGCAAAGCAGUAUUAUAGUAUUUCAACUCUUAGGUUUUCAGCAUUUCUUCCAAACAAAAGAUGCCAAAUGAUAACUAAAGCAACUAUGCAUUCUGCAAUAUGCUAAUUAAACUAUGCAUCUUGCAACACAAAUUUAGGUUUGACAAGAACAUAAGUAUUAGCCAGAAUAGCACAACUGGAAACCAAGCAUCUGAUAAUUACCACGUGCAUCAAUAUUCAACAUUUCUAUUUAGUCAAUAGUCAUCGUGUAUCAAACCAUAUAAUUUACAGCAUAAGCCAGCCUUUCAACUAGAGUGAAGUACUUAUCUUCAUACAUAUAUGAUAUGUCUUAGUAAAUGUCGGUAGAAUGACAACUAUAGAAUAUCCAUGUCAAUAUUGCUUUUAUUAUUCUCUAGGGUUACUGGAUAAGAAUGGAGCACUAAUAAUAAUAAUUUAAUAAACUAUCACAAAAAACAAAUAUCAGAACAACACACAUUUGAGUUGAAUCAUGGAGAUGUCAUAUCAUGGCCAAGCAGAGCGAUUUCUAUACCUCAACGAAGUUACACCAUCGAUCAAGCAAACGGAACCUUCCGUUCAGAACAAUCUUCCAUGCUGCCACAGCUCUCUGAAUAGCUAUGCAAAUGAAAUAGGAAACUCCUAGUUAGUGUUCUAUCGGUAUAAGAAGUAUAUACUAGGAUACCAGUAGACAUUGAGAAUAGAGGAUCUUACUGAUACUCUUUUGCCCCUUUUCACGACAGAUGAAGAAGACAAAAUCGUAGAAGCAACUGAAUAGGGUCAUAUCCUCCUAAAACAGAAGGCACUCAAUUAACAUAAGGUAGUGAAGAAGGCUCUCAAUUAACAUAAGGUAGUAAAGAUCGACAAAAAAAAUCUCAAUCAGCUUGGAAAGCGUCACUCACCAAAUCAAUAAAUGGAAUGAGCUUUGGGAUAUCAGCAAAAAUCACAUCCCUGCAUCAACAUUAGGAUGCUUAAUCAUGUGAAAGGCUACAUAGGAUGAGAAAAUAAAACAGAACCAAACAUGAUACAAAAAAAGAAUCAUACAUUCACAUGAUAUGGAGGUUAUGAAAGUUUAUGUGAUCAGGGCUGAUUAAGGAUGUGCGCUUGUGUGUUGUGUCUUGGCCAGGAUAUACGAGCGACAAGCAAAUUUAAAAUGCCAUGAUGUUUGCAACAUUGAAUAGCCACCAUGAUAUUUUUUACUUCCAAGUAAAAACAGUUAAAUGUCAAUGUGCUGGUAACAUUAACACAGGAAAAUCAACUCCAAAAGAUUUAUAUAUUUACAGCAACAGAGAAAAAAGUACAACGACUAUUAAUAUUCACAUAUUGUUCAAUUCGCGUUUAAAUCUUCGUCAAAUUACACCUCAGCCAAAUUCUAAACAGAGAGUAAACAAGGGUCAAUAGAUUUCUCUAAUUCUCAGACAAGGUUUCAUAUUUCAACUCUACAUAUGCAAGCAAGAAGUAGAAAAGCAUGCAUCCUGUCAUAAAGUUUCACCAUGGUGCAGGAUAUAUCAUAAUGAAAAGAACUCUCAAAGAUGCAAACCUCAUUCCUUCAAUUCCAUCUAUAGCUAGUGAAAGCUCAACCAAUCCCUGUCUUGUCUCCACACUUGUACCUCCUGAUACGAUACCUAGCAAAACAAAGGCCAAAAGAACCAAUAGGUCGAUAUAGUGCCCCAAUAAACACAAUCUGAACUAACAAUGUGAACACGAGAACCGUUUACUGCACAUUUAACUUUUGUACUAUGCACGAGGCUUGGUUCCAGUUCCUGAGAAUUUUGUCUACUCUAGGUGCCAAAGAAGGAUGAUAUGAUCGAAUUGCAGAAACUAUCAAACGUACAGCCUCGAAGUAUGAACUUUUGUGAAGGACAACAUAUCAGUUUGCACGAGUCGUUUCGCUAGCAUCUGCCUAGCUAUAACUAACACUUCUUUGAAUUUUUCGUCACCCAAGAAAGCAAGAACCGAUAAGAGAAGGACCCAUUUUUCGUCAAGAAGUCAGACAAUUGACCACCGAUUAACGUUCAAGAUCACUUCUUCAGUACUCGAACCC